rnacentral:lncRNA from 1 species
AUGGAACUCAACAAUAACAAAUGAUUAAGUAUACAAAACACACUGGAUUCUGAAAACUAGAGAAAAGAAAAGGGAUAACGCCAAAUGCUAAACUGUCUGUAACUUAUUCGUAUUUCUUCAGGAAAGACUUUAGAAAGACAUACUGCGAGUUUACCGGAAAAAUGAUAUCUCACCGCAAAUUUGAUAGCAAAAGAUGGAGAUAUGUCUGGUAGCUACCUGGGGAUGGGAUUUAAUAAAUUUAAUUCUGAAUCCACAUUCAAAAGGGAGAUUUCAGGUGAGUUGCUUGAUGUUGUCAUGUUGCUUAGCACUCUUUGAGUUCUUCCGUGAGCCAUCUCUAUAGCCAUGCAUUCCUUCAGUUCUGUUAAUACAAGACUCAUGUCAGGCCUUUGAAUUGAAGCUGGUUGUGCACAUGACAUGGCUAUGUCCACCACUUUCCAGGCAGCAUUGACAUCGAAUUCACCUUGCAACCUAGGAUCAAUAAUGUUUCGAAUGUCGCCCUUUUCCACUAUUGGACUCAGCCAUUGAAGUAUGUGAACACCGCAGUCGGGGAUCCUUAUUAUUGCAGGCUGCCCUGUGAUUAGCUCAAAUAGAAUAAUCCCAAAGCUGUAAACAUCGCUUUUCUUGUUUAGGUUCCCUGAACAUUGAAAUCUAUAUGGAAAACACAAACGGUUUCUGUCAGUAGGAGUUUUGUAUAAAUUAGAUGAAUGAAACAAGCAUAAAAGUCUUUUAAUGUUACUUUUAUCAAUUCUUUCAAUAUCGUUUUUGCUUAUCCAAUGAUGCUGAGAAGUUAAAUUGUUAGGGAUUAUUUGGAUGAGCCUAGUCCCAGAGCCUUUAGAGAUGGAAGAUCAGAUGACGCAUCCAAAGCGUAACACUUGGGAUUUGAAAGUUAACAUGAUACAAUCUAUGAGGCUAAGAUAACAUUUAGCCAACGGGAAAUGUUACUAGGUUUAGACAGCAAUUAUGUGAGAAUUCUCAUCAUGAUUUAGGCAGCAGAUCAGUUAUAAUUAAUGAUUUAAGAAAUUAAACAAAUUCAGAUAAAUUUCAUCAAGUUUUAGAGAAUUACUCAGGAUCAAGAUAUCCGGGUGUGCCAGCAGGGCAAGUUGAUAUGUGAGACUCAUUUUCUGUUAAGAAAAUUUUAGACAACCCAAAAUCAGCUAUCUUGGCUUGCAUGCUUUCAGUCAAUAAGAUGUUGGCAGAUUUCAAAUCUCUAUGAACUAUGGACGGCUUGCAACCAUUAUGUAGAUACUCCAAACCUGCAACUCUAGAAAGUCAUUAGUUAAGAUCUGUUUUAAGGGGAGAAGAGGAAUUUACAAAUCAAAGACAUUAAAAAAAGUCAUUGUCGAGGGUUCUGAACCAUAUGCAGCGUCAAUCGCAAUUUGAAGUCUUUCUUUCCAUUUUAAAACAUUUCCGUUUGUGUCUGCAAGCAAAAAACACAUUAAAAUUAUCAAAGGGAAUGGACAAUAGGCUUGCAACUUUGCAGAAGCAAGUAAUAGAUUAGACACAAUUGUUCAUUUAAAACAAACAAAUUUCAAAGAGAAUAUUGUUCAUACCUGAUAAGUGCUGUCUCAAGUUUCCAUUUGCCAUGUACUCAUAAAUCAGCGCCAUCUUGCCAUUCUCAUCACAGUAACCAAUGAGAGAUACAAGAUUUCUAUGGUGAACAAUCAUUAAAAGUUGUACCUGCAAUAUUUUAAAAUGGUGCUUCAUCAUAUCCGAAUGAAUUUAUUGUCAUAACUAUGUAUCAUAUAAUGAUGCUAAUAUCAACAUAGGAUAAAACUUUUGGCUCCAUUAAAAUCUGACCUCUGCUCGAAAUUCUUUAAAUCCUUGCUUUGAUGAUGGCGAGAGUAAUUUGACAGCAACUGGAGCUUCAUCAUUCAGAGUACCAAGAUAAACUUUUCCAAAUCCUCCCUCUCCAACAACGGUUGUGAAGUUACCAGUAAUUUUAACGAUCUGAGAGUAAGAAAAGGGUCGAUUCUUUGAUUUAAAUGACCCUUCCUUGGAUGACUUGAUCAGAGGCUCUACAACAACAAUGAAGUUAUUGUGGUUUCAAGUGGCAACUUCUUGUUGUAUUAAGAACAUGUUUUUUAGAUGGCUGUAGCGAAAUUGGAAGGCCCUGAAAUGACCUUUAGUAAUAAAUGAGUGUACUAUUCCUACGUGAAUAGGAGGAGUUAGUAGUCCUUGUUAAUUGGCGGAGACGGAUAGAAAUACCUACCGAAGAGCCCUUCAUAGAGUGGUGGAUAAGAAACAUAGAUUUCUAGUCUUAAUGAAAGGUGUUAGCAGCUUUUAUGGGUGUGUGUUCCUACCACCCCAAUGCUAGAAAGCCUAAGACAACAAAUUGCUAAAAGCGUCGGUAAAAUAAAUGGCUUGAAUUCAAACCACAUACAACACACAUGCAGUUUGUCUAACAGUAAUCAGGUCUAGUAUAUGCUCUGAACUUAAGAAAUAAACAGCAUCUCAAGCAGCGCCGUUAUCAUGUAGUGAUAAUCUCGACACUGAUAAACAGGGCCAGUCUUGAAAACCAGAGGAUUAAUAAAUUUGACUAAUUUCGAUGCAAAGACAAAAAGUAUACAUGAAAUAAGAAAGUACCUUGCUGUCUUCUUCUUCUAAUCAUGCAAAAUACAAUUAGAAUGCUGAAGAAGAUGAGGACCAAAACAGAUACAAUGGAUGCAACAACUGGAACAACAAACUUCUUCUUUUCUUUAUCAUGACAUGGAUCCAUUUGGCAUAAAUCUGGAUUUUCAGCCAAUCUGGCAUUGAACAGAAUAGACAAAUCUCAAAAUGCGUCUAUUGGAAUAUGACAAAUUAUUGCAUAUAGAAUCAAAAUUCGUUUGGAAACUUGUAACAAGAUUGCAAUCAAUAUUAAAACUAACUACUGAUUGCAACCCUGACAUAAUGAUUAGUCCCACAUGGUUUCUGUUAAAAUAUAGUUGAGUAAUUCAUUCGAAAAGGAUUUUGUCAUAUUUUUGAAGGAAAAGCAGUCUCAAAGCAACAUGGGAGUCAAAAGAAAAGGGAAAUAAAUUUUAUGUUGAAGUAAGAUGAGUUUGAAUCGUUAUAGCGCGUAAAGUCGACAGAAGAUUACAAACCUUAAAACCAGCGAUCCGUCAUCAGACUUGUCUUUGAGAGAUUGCGGAACUGAACCUGCGAGCUUGUUUCCGGAUAAAUUUCUACACAGAAAGUGACAUAUAAAUCUUUUGUUUUCAUAGCUUAGUAUUUCUACCUUAUGAAUGUGCAUAACAAACGAUUGGGCAAACUUUUAUUUCAUAGCUGAAAAAUUAGAAUCAUGAAAUUAGUACGCGUAACUUACAGGACUUUCAAAUUUGGCAGCUGGGCUAAAACUUCAGGCACUGGCCCCGUUAAUUCAUUGUAUGAUAAGUCACUGAAAACGAAAAAUUAAUUGAGUAAAUAUUUUGAGUGAAAAUUCCAUAAAGUCAUAAAAGAAAGGAAUACUUUGUCUUGUCAUACACAGCGUUGCAUAUGCUCUAAAAACAGAAUCUGCAGUUUUGCAACUAUUCUCUAAAAGAGCUAACCAUUGAGGGAUCAUGCUGAUACACCGCUGCAAAAGGGCUAUUCGGACAACUAUUUUCUAGGAGUCACUUCUUGUCUAUAACAACUUUAAAAGCUAGAAGGUUAAUACUCACAGGGACUCUAUUGCCUGCAGAUCAGAGAAUGACAAAGAAAUCGCCCCCGUUAAUUUACUUGCACUCAGGUUCCUGCAAGGAAUUUAGCAAUAAGGAGAAAUAUACUACCAUGAAUAUCAUAAAUAUAUAAUGUAUUGCUUUCUAAUGCAUGACUCCCUCUAAAAAUUUUUAUUUGAAAAAUGUUGUUGCAAUGGAUGUCGAACACAUCUUUGGAUGACUUGAAACUGCACUCACAGUGAUAUGAUCCUUGGAGUACCGUUGAACCUGCAGGUUAAACCACUCCAGGUAUAUUCUUUGGGGAGGCAUGGAUCUCCUUGCCAAUCAUCUUUGUUUAUGUUGUAUGUUUGCUUGAUGGCCAUGAUAGCAUCACCUAAAUGGUCAAUUUCAAAAAGAAAAUGGUUGAGAAUUGAAUUUAGCAAACAAGUAGCAACCAUAUGAAAGUAACACAGAACCAACAUUUCCAAAUUUGCAGUUCUUUCCGGAUGUAAAAUUAGUUUUUCUUUUCCUAGGAUUAUUUGCAGAAACAUUCCCAACUGACUAGCUGUUGGCAUGUUGUGAGUCGUAGGUCAGGGCAAUACCGUACGGGUGUGUUAAUAACUGAUUACCAUGCCAUAACACCUUUCCUCUGCAUUUUUAUUCUGGUAAAACUACACUACAGCCCUCUAACUCUAAGCAUGACAUGGCAUUCUUUAGGGGAUACAGUGGGAGUAACGGGCUAAAAAGGAAAUAAAUAAACACCCACAAAUCUUGGUCAUGCCACACAUGACACAACACAACAACCAUAUCAUUAUUUAUGAAACAGUGUGACUCAAUCCGUUCGGACAUCAGAGGCUCAUAAAAGAACAUGUGACCCUAAUUUCCAUAUGCUUGAAAUGGGUCCCUAGUCAAUCCGUUCAAUGAUAGCUAUUUAUUAUUGCAAUGAACUUAGACCAUAGUAAAAUACAUUUUCCCACCUUCCACAAUAACAGCUAAUUGCUUCGACAGUAGAUGUAGAAAAAGUGCUUGAAUGAGGUUAUUCUCUUGUUUAUCCCAUGUGGUGAUUGGCUGAUUGCUUGUUAAUUCCUGUUUCUUACCUAACCCCUAUAAUUGGACUGAUGACCAAGGAACUUUAAAAGUAUCCAACCAAUAGGUGGAAACUAAUUUAGACUUAAAAAGCAAGAAAAAAUAUUGGAUUGAGAAAAUGAAAUGAACACAAUGAAAUAGUACCGUCUGUUGGGUCAGUUGGUGAAUAUGGAAGCGGAAGAACUUGGUAAAACUCCAUCGCAUUAAGUAUCGGGGGAAGGUCGGAUUCCUCUGUUGCAUCAAUAGUAAAGUUAAUUACUCCUUGAACCGGUAAAUUCUGGGAGCUUACCGUUAACGGCUUUAAAUACUCAAGAGUAAUCGGCCCAAUCUUGAAACCGUUCAAAGUGAUGGUGAAUUCUCUAAGUCGAUCUUGCCGCGCAGUCUCUUCAAUCUCAGCGAAGUAAAAGCAGACAAGAUACUGACUAAAGGGGAAACGAGAUGAGUAGUAAGUAUAAUUCAGGGAUCUGGAGCCAUUGACAGGCUGGAUAGCUGUUCUCAAGACCUCAGCCGGUACUUUGUAUAAAUCAUCAACCUGGUUGGCGAUAUUCAAUGAGGGAGAAAUUGGAACAGAACUCGGAAAUUGGAGAGGUUGCCAGAUGCGGUCAUAACCAUCAUCCUUGUACCUAUUGGGAGACACAUUUGGAUGAUAGAAAUAAUUUAAUGUAUAAGAGGAAAAAUUAAACCACAUGGAUCAUGAACAGAAAUACAUGCAACUUCUCACUAACAAUUAAAUAAUAUUUAUUGUUAUUAUUCAAAAUGUAAAAUAAAAAUAAAAAUAUCAUACUCACAGAUUAAUUAAUGAUGGAAUCAGAGGAAUACAUAAAUUAAGCACGAUACAUUAUUCAACAACAACAUUACAAUUUACAACAAGAAGUGAUAACAUAACAGAAUGCAGUGUUACCUGAAGGAGUCAUUACUAGAGAUGCCCAGGUCACUAGCCCUGACGUUCCCUAGUGCUACAGAGUAGGUUGUAUUAAAAGCUGAAUCAUUUGAAAGCCGUAAUUCCAAUGCCGAAAUGAAAGGAAUUCCAAGGCCGGUGUUUACAAGACAUACAUAUCCAGUAUCAGCUGUGAAGAAGUAAAUAAUAUCGAGGAAGAGCAUGUACCACAGGGAUGGCAAUCUCACGGUGUCCCAGUAAUUAACCCCCACAUAUAGCUCAAAUUCUGGUAUUUCAUUCUUGCCAUCAUAAUUCCCAUAUAAAAAGGAAGCUCUAAUACGAUAGCUGUUAUUUCUGCCUUGUUCAGGUUUCAGAGUGUAACAGUUCUUUUUUCCAUCAGGAAAACUUCUGAGGUUCCCGUACUCCCUCCAUUGCACAACGUAAUAAUUGUUACGGCUGGCACUGGCUGGUAUGUCAUGGUUUUCACCAGUUUCAAUGAAAUCUUUAUCGGACUUGUAGUAUAUACCAGUUUCACCGUUAAGGUAGUCUUCCUCGACACCGCAAUCGAUGCUUAUGAAACCUUAUCAUCAUUUAGUGCACAUAAUUAGCAAUCAGGACGAAUUUUACAGUAAGAUUAUCAAUUAAAAUAAUUUUUUAAAAAUAAUAAAAACCUGUUUAACAAGUUAAAAGGUAAACAAUGUAAAUAAUUUCUAAACUUAUCAAUUUUAUAUUAACAAUAUAGAUAAUUUUUAAACUAAUCUAUUUUAUUUUAAAAAUUAUUUACUUUUUAUUUUUGUUCUAUUUUUUACUUUAAAAUAUAAGAAUAUUAUUAUUUUUAAUACUAACAUUAUAUCUAACUAAUUUAAUUCUAUUAAAAUUAUUAUUAUUAUGACUUGUUACGUUAAAUUUUACAUAUUUAUAUCAAUAUUUUAAUAAUACUUGUUCCAUCUUUAUAAUAUUUUACAUUAAUUCUUAUGGCUUUACGUAAAGUGAAUUCUAUAGUGAGGCUACCAAUUUAAAUAAUUUUUAAAAAAAUAAUAAAAACCCGUUUAACAGGUUAACAGGUAAAUAAUAUAGAUAAUUUUUAAACUAAUCUUUUUUAUUUUAAAUAUUAUUCAAUUUUUAUUUUUAUUCUAUUUUCUCUUUAAAAUAUAAAAAUAUUAUUAUUUUUAAUACCAACAUUAUAUCUAACUAACCAAAUUAAUAUUCGUAUAUAGAUAACAUCCACAAAUAUAAAAAGACUGCUGUAUAUUUAUUUCAAUCAUAAAUAAUAGUAUACUUUUUUCUGCAUUUUUCUUUUUACGUUAUUUAGGCAAAGUUCCUUGUAUAUUUUAAGGACUCAGAUUUAUUCAAUAAAGUUGUUGACUUGAUAUGGAUCUCAUAUUAGUUUUAUUUUAUCAAGUCAAAACAUCUGGAGCCCAUACCUAUAAAUCUAAAUCGCAUUCCAUAAAAGAUGUAGCAUUUCAUAUUAAUUUUAUUUUAAAUUAAAAUAUUUGGAGCUCACACUUAUAAGUUUUAAAUCCAUUUUAUUAUUUUUUUGACGUGACAUUUAUUACAUUCUGUCUCAUCCAAUUAAUAACACUUUUGUUUAGUCAAUAACAUCAUUUAUAGACGAAAGGGACUCACCUUAAUUUAGACAUGUUUCGACUAUGAUAUCUUUCAUGGAGAUCUAACAUCAAAGAAGAGUUGGUAAAUUCUAAUACCACUUAUUAUGAAUUUACAUUUUCAAUUCAAAAUACAUGCUUAUUAAAUAAAGAAAAACCUUUAAUCAUAAAUCUAAAACUCAUCCUAUUUUUUAUUGACUUGAGAUCUGUGACACGUGACUUUAGCAAAAAGUUAUUAUAAAAUAGUUGUAGUCCAUGUUAAAUGUUUUAUUUUUUUAAAAAAUAGUUUUAUUAGUACUAAAUCAUUAUGCCAUUCAAAGGCUCUAAGCAAUUUGCCAAAGACUUCAGUUGGCUGUGUUAAAUGUUAUGGCAUAUAUAUAAUAUAUUUAGGAUUUUGUGGGAAGAUGGAGUUUGGUACUUUGGAUGGAUGGAAUACUUGAAUAUUUAUAAUAUUAUAAUGAAAAUAAUUGCAAAUGAUAUGAAUAUGAAAUAAAAUAUGUUGCAAUGAAAAUUUUAAAAGAUUAUUUUAAUAUGUACUUAAUCGAUUUUAGGAUCAUACCUUUUGCAAGUAUAUAUAAAAUUAAUUACCACUUAUUAAUUAAUAUUUAUGGUUUUUACAUUUCUUUUUCACAAAAAACGAAUGCUUAUGAUAGAAAUGAUUUGUUCCAUUGAAUGAGAAAAUGAAAUUAACAAAAAGGUUUCUGAAAAAAAAGAAGUCCUCUUUCUUAGGUGUUAGAGUAAAUUUAACAAAUUAGGUGUUCAAAUUAAUGAUUUGACAAAGUUGUAAAGUUAAAGUGAGUACCAAAUCAACAAUAUUAAUUAUCAAUCAAAUUGAUUAUUGCUGCACUUAAACAUUUGGUUUAUUGGUUGAUGUAUGAUUUACUUACUUAAAAAACAAGAUUCAAAUCUCCCUUCUCCUAAUUAAAAAAAAUGAUCAUAAUUUAUCUUCAUAUUAAUCUGAAAUCCACAUUCCCAAUAAUAUUCAAGGAACUUUGUCGCUAGCUCUACUACAAGAUAUUUUGUUAAAAAAAAGGAGUAUGCGGUUCCUCCUAUAAAUGGUAGUAAUGCUGCUAGAACAUUGCUCAGUAUUAAUAACAAGCUUGACAUAUUAAACUUUAUAAACAUGAAGAUUAAUCCCUACGUCCGAGAAUAGGAAAAAGGUUAGUUGACAGGAAAUUAAUUUAAGUGAACAAGAUUUAUACAAGCACUUACCUGGAUUAUUUUGAGUGGCCAACUUUCGACUUCCAACGUCGUGUUUAGUCGCCUCAGUUAGUGUCGGAGUAUCCCAAGAGGACGUAAUCCCGAAAACCAAAAUGAAGAGUGGUAGUAGAUUAUUGAGCACAAUAAACAAUUCGUGUCUACUCAUCAUGCUGCUCUAUAAUUUCCUUAAGAAUUAUGGAUAGAGUUGUUUAGAUUGAAAUGCUCAAUUGCCAAUUUAUAUAUAGUUACCAGUAAAGAUUAUUUUGCACUUAACACGACGACUUGUGUGGAUUUCGGAGUAUGGAAAACGCCCAAAGACUUUUCUUAAUUUGGGGUUAUGGUUUUCUCGCAAAAGGAGCUGAAUAAGUAACCGCGUGGUCUGUACGUUCUUUUUGUCUAGUUUUCUUUGCUUAAAUUUUUUUCGCCUUCAAUUUCUUCCCUUUUCUCUUUAUUACCAUCACUUUCAAAUGUAUGCAUAUCGUCUUCCAUUGUUCUUCAAGGUCUACAUGUUUGAACUAAGCUAAAAGGAAGCUUCUUCCAAGGCUGUACUUUCAUUGUUUCGAGAUAAAUGCAGCAAAUUACAAGUCUAGUCCAGUACCCUGAGCCAAUGAGAAACUUGAACGUAGAUUUGGGUUUUGACUCGAAUGCUCGGCAUGGACUUGGCCAAACUUCCUUUUUUCUUGUUGAAGUUAGAUACAGGAUUUUAUAUAAUGGGUGAUUGAACAUUCAUAUAAGGCUACAGAUUGAGUCAAUUAUUUGAUUCGGAACAAAAGAAAAUUAAUCAUUUUUGAAAUAAAGUAAAGUAUCAUAUAAAAUUUUAUUGAUAAUUUAAAUAUAAGUUUUUAAAUUCAUCAAUAUAAAUGGAUAUAAAGUAAAAAGAAAAAUUAAGAUUAAAUUUUCAUAUUAGGCAUCGUAAGUUGUGCUUGACGUGCUUUCAUAUUUUCAAAUUCAUCGAUAACUAAAUCUGUAUCAAUAGUUCUACCAAUCACUUUAUACCUAUUUAAUUUGAAAAAAAAAGAUAAGUCUAUUGAAAUUUUCUAAAUAUUUUAAUCACAUUCUUGUUCAGUUUUUAUGUUAAUGUAUGAUAUAUUGCAUAAAUGCUCAAACUGAAUCAACAGAUUAUAAGAAAAAUCAAAGUAAAAAAUUAUACUCUUUAGGCAGUUAAGUAAUGCAUUUUUUGCGCCAUAGGACCUGUUGCAUUUAAAUGUGGUACGUUCACUUAGCAUGCAAUUUUGUUAAUUAUUUGUGAAUAAUUAAUAAAUAUUUAAUUAAUUAAUGUUAGAUAUUGUUCUAAUAUUUUUUAAUUAAAUAAUUGAAAAAGUGUGGGAUAUGAUAUAAAUUUAAAUUUAAUUUUUUUUAAAUUUAAAUAAGGAUUAUCUAUGUAAUAAUCCAUUAUAUUUAAAUUUAAUUUAUUUAAAUUUAAAUAAAGAUUAAUUACAUUUAAAUUUAAUCUAUUUAAAUUUAAAAGAAAUAUCCUAUCUCUCUAUCCAUAACACGUCUAUAAAUAGUGAACAGACAUGUUUAUUUUUUUCACACAAUCAAAAGUGAACGUGAGUUGUUCUGUAAGUCAGAAAAACGAAAAACUCUUUUAUCUUUUUCUCACAUUCUCCUUAUUCUUAAGGCACCAUCAAAGUUAGAGGGUUUUGGAACGUGUAAUUCCUUGUGGAGGACUCUAGUAGCCACUCUAUAAUAAUGAUAACGAAGACUUUGUUGUGUACACGAAGGAAGAUUCAUAAGACAAGCUUCUUUGAUUAGAAAGAGAGUGGAAUAUUCAUAUUUAGAGAUAAGUCCACCUCUCAACAGUGGUAUUAGAGCAGAUUUUGGCUUGUUUUCAUCAUUUUAAUUUGUGCAUAUUUUGAAAGAAUGUUUUGGUCAUGAUUUUGUUUAAUUUAAAUUACUAGUAUAUAAUUUAUUAUGUAUAAAUCUGCAAUAAAUAUAUUUUAUUUUUUAUUAGCUUUCUAGCGGUAUAUUAUAUGUAUAUAUAUAUAUCAUAAAAAAGUUAUGUUGCAAAUUUGUUUUGUUGAAACUGAUAUGGAAAAAAAAUGGCAAAGAAAAUGCAAUUAACAUGAUUCAAACCUACACUAACAAAGUCAUUGAGACUUUUAAAGAUAGCCUUCAAACACUAUCCCAAGAAAGCAUUCUUGAGAUAAGAGUGCACUAGAUAGUAAAUACCAAAGGGUCUGGACACAAACAUAAAGGGCUUAAUGUGGCAGUCACAUGGCGCUAAUGGAUAUAUUUUUUCAGAAUUACAUUUUUGCCUUGCAAGUUUCUAUUUUUACAAAGUAACCUCAAAAUUUUUUGGUAAUUACAAUUUGAAAAAAUUUCAAGAAUAUUAAUUAUGUUUUUGGCAUGUUAAUUAUUAUUAAAUUCACAUGCAUUAUAAAUAUAGUUAAUUAAUUUGUUAAUUAACCAUUUUUUUUGCUUAUAUGUUGUAUACUAGAAUUUUGUUUUUCUAAAACAUAUAUAUGGUUUGAGUGAAUUUAUUAAAUGUUUGUUAAAUCAAUUAUUUUACAUAUGUUGUAAAAUGCUAUGUGCCAUAUAAGUAUAUUUUGUAUGAUUGUAAUAUUUUAUUAUUUGUUAGGUAAAAUUUAUAAAACGAAUGAUGUAAUUAUUUUACUUAUUUGCUAAAUAAAAUUGUAUGCAAACAACUAGUACGAUGAUUAUAUGUCUCGAUAAUUUUGUGAAAAGAGACUGGGUUUUUUGAGAUACCGUUUGUGACUCCUCUAGCCUUUCAUGGAAAUUACUGCAAAAGUAGGGUGCUUUGUCGAAAAGACUAUUGCAAUCUUUCUUCGAAGCAUUGGAAAAUUAUGAUUUACUUAGUGCUAUUUUUAUGUGCAUAACAUUUAUAUGGAAGAUUUUGAUAUUCCAAAAUAAUAAAUACGUAUAAGUAAGUGUGACAUCCCUAUUUUUGUAGAUUAAUGUAGUAGGCUCUUGAUGAUGUAAUUUAUUUUUUGUUUGUAUUAAUUAUUUAUUGAGGACAUGUAAAAGGGUGUAAUUUCGAGCUUACUUUAUGCACAAUAUUAUUUUGGAUAUGGGCACCUAUCAAUAUCAAUAGAGUUUUUUAGUAGAACUCAUUAUAUUAUAUUAUGUUGUAUGUGGCAAGUGGGAGUUGUUCAUAUACUUAAGGAUAGUGGGAGUAGUUCCCAUAAUCCAAGGUUAAAUUAGAUUAGAUAUUUUAAUUUCAUGCUUAUAUUAUUGUUGAUGAUUACUAGCUUGUCGAAAUUUUCGAACUAGUAAUAUAAGUAAAAAUUAAAUAUGUCUAAUUAUAAUUGAGUAGAAAAUUAGAUAUAUGCCUAUUAAAUCCUAUGCAAUGAUGUAGUAGUAUGGCUUCAAAACAAAUUAUUGUUGAUUUGACCAAAGGUGCCAAACUUGAUUGCAAAAACUAUGAUAUCUAGCAUAAGAAAGUUUAGUAUUUUCUCAAUGAGUAAAAGUUGCUCGAUCAUCUGACCAAAAAAAUGAACCCAUAUGAAGUUGGAAACAUUGAUUAGCAUUGCCAUGACCAAAAGCCUAUGACACUUGGUAUAAGAGAGAUCAUAAUGUGUGUUUUGCUCGAUUAAGUUGCAUGCAUGAUGAUUUCACUGGGGAGUUUGAGAACUUCCCACCUACCAAAUAGUUAUGGGAACAAUAGAAAUUCAAGUAUGGUGGAACCAUAGCUACAAGGCUUCAUGCCUUAACACUUAAGUUCAAUCAAUAUGUGAUGGACUUCAAGCACACUAUGGCUGAGCACCUAAGGGCUAUGCCAGCCAUGAUAAAAGAAAUGAAAGCAGUUGGCUAUGAUCUCACAUAUGAGUAGCAUGUCUUAGCUGUCAUCAAGUUACUCCUUAAGUCCUCAAGGGGAUAAAUUUUUAUUAACACACAAUGAAGGGAUAUAGACUUUUGAUGACAUUUCUCGCCAUCUAGAGCUUGAGGCAAAGCAAAGAGAAGCAGUCCAUAGCACUGCCUUGAUAGCUCAAGUUGGAAAACGCAAAAGGUAUGUUCCCUAGCGAAAAAGAUAACAAAAAAGGGAAAGACUGAAAGUCUAAGGCCAAAAAGUGAUGGAGUCACCAAGUGCCAACGAGGCAAGCGUGAUGGGAAAAAGAAUAAGUCCAAGUUGAAAUGCUUUAAUUGUGAUAAGAAAUGACAUUUUGCUUAUGAGUGCACUGAGCCUAAAGAGGGUUCGUCCUCUAAACCAUUUAGAACUUAUGUAUGUUUUCAUGUGUUUAUAGCUCAUUUUCUCCUUAGUUGGAGAAUAGAUACAAGAACAACCAAGCACAUAACCUGUAACCGUGUAGGAUAUGUAGAUUACCAUCUUUUACCAACAAGUAGACACUUUAUCAUGAUGGGGAACAAAGCAUAGGAAGAGGUCCUAGGAGUAGGAACUUACCAACUCAUAAUGCAUAAUGGGUGAAAAUGGCUCCUACAUGAUGUGCUUCAUACUACAUCUGCGUGAUGUAAUCUACUUUCAAUUUUAGCAUUGACAGAUUUAGGAUUUAAUUUUACUUUCGAGAAUUAUAGUUUAUCUAUUUUUCUUGAAGACACUUUUUUUUAUCAUGGUUAUUUUAAAGACAGUUUGAUUAUGCUAGAUUUAGAUUUUAAUAUUGAUGUUGCUUUUGUUUCAAAUUCUUUUUUGAUGUUAUAAAUGAUUCUAUGAAAUAACAUGUUAGAUUAGGACAUAUUGGGCAAAAUAAAAUGUCAAGAUUGGCUAGAAAAGGGCUAUUGGGCUCUUUCGCCAAAGUUAAACUUCUUACAUGUGAGCCAUGUCAUGUUAGUAAGUCUAAUAGAAAGCCCUUUAGGAAAGCUAAAAGGGCCACCCAUAUUCUAGACCUUGUCCACUCGAACAUUUAUGGGCCUAUGAAUGUAAACGCAUGCAAUGGUGUAUCCUAUUUCAUUACAUUCAUAGAUGAUUACUUGUAAUAUGGAUCCAUAUUUCUAUUGUCUCAUCAUUCUGAAGCUUCGAAUUGUUUCAAAUGCUUUAUGGCAGAGGUUGAGAAUCAGAAAGAAAAAAAACUUAAGAUUUGUUGCACUGAUAGAGGCCGUGAAUACCUAUCUUAUUAAUUCAAAGAAUUAUGUGAGGAAAAGGGAAUUUUUCGACAAUUAAUUAUAUUUAGAACUCCAGAACAAAAAGGUGUUGCAAAGAGAAGGAAUCGUACCUUGUUAGACAUGGUUAGGUCGAUGAUGGCACAAGCUAGCCUUUCAAUAAGUUAUUGGGGGGAUGCCUUUUGAUUGCAGCAUACACCUCAAUCUUGUGCCCUCAAAAUCUAUUCUUACAACUCCAUAUGAGUUAUGGAAUGAGAGAAAGCCCAAUUUGGAAGGCUUACGUCCUUGAUGAUCAAUGGGGUACGUACAUCACUUAUCUCAUAAGUACGGGAAACUUGACCCUAAAGUUAAUAAAUGCGUAUCUAUUAGAUACUUAGAACAUUAUAAGGGUUAUGUGAUGUAUAGUGAAAACCCUAAUGAAGGGCUAACUAAGAUGGAAUCUCGUGAUGUUGACUUUCUAAAAGAUGACUUUCCAAGUAUGAGUGAGGUUAAAGAAAGCCUUGAGCUUUAAGAGUUGAAGGAGCCUUAAGAAAAUGUAUAACCGACAUGAGAAAAUAGGUGUGGAAACAUAUCCUAUCCAAGAGAUUGUUGAGGUCAGUGGGAGUCCGCCACUUGAGCUCUACCAAGAUUAAUAGUUGCGAAAAAGUGAACGUGGAAAAAUACCUUGUAUAUGAAUUGAGAUAAAAGGUUAAUCUUUCUUAGGCAUCUUUGUGGAUGUUGAUGAACCAUCAAUGGGAGAUGAAAUGAAAUCCAUGACUGAAAACCAAGUAUGGGAGUUAGUUGACCUUCUAUCUGGGCACAAAACCAUCGAAAAAAAAAAUGGAUUUUGAAGGUAAAAUUCAAAGUGGAUGGAUCAAUUGACAAAUAUAAGGCUCGUUUAGUGGUAAAAGGUUAUACUAAAAAAAAAGUGUGGACUAUAAAGAAACUUUAUUUUUUAUGGUGAGAUUUGUGUCAAUUCGCCUUAUCUUAGCUAUAGUGGCACAUUUAGAUUUGGAAUUGUUCCAAAUGGAUGUGAAACUGCAUUUCUUAAUGGAAAAAUCAAUGAGGAGAUUUACAUGAAUCAACCAAUUAGUUUUCAAGCUAAAAGAAAGGAAUACAAGAUGUGUUGCUUGAAACGUUUUAUCUAUGGCUUGAAACAAUCAUCUUGACAAUGGUAUCUUCGUUUUCAUCAAGCCAUCAUGUCCAUGGCAUUUAUGAUGAUUGAAGACGAUCGUUGUGUAUAUGUAAAAAGAUUAAGGAAUAACUUUCAUAUUCUUUCAUUAUAUGUGGAUGAUAUCAUAUUAACUAGGAAUGACAUUGAGUUAAUUGUCACCACUCAGAAGUGGUUGUCUUUCACUUUUAAGAUGAAGGACAUGGAACAUGUUGAAUACAUCCUUUGGGUUAAGAUUUUGAGAAAUUGUUCUAAGAAGGUUAUACUCAAAAAGAGGCUGUGGACUAUGAAGAGACGUUUUCUUCUAUGGUGAGGUUUGCGUCAAUUCGCCUUAUCUUGGUUAUAGUGGCACAUCUACAUUUGGAAUUGUUCUAAAGGGAUGUAAAACUGCAUUUCUCAAUGGAGAAAUCAAUGAGGAGAUUCACAUGAAUCAACCAAUUAGUUUUCAAGCCAAAGGAAAAGAACACAAGGUGUGUUGCUUGAAACGUUUUAUCUAUGGCAUGAAACAAUCAUCCUGACAAUGGUAUCUUUGUUUUCAUCAAGCCAUCAUUUUCAUAGGUUUUAUGAUGAUUGAAAAGGACAAUUGUGUAUAUGUAAAGAGAUUAGGGAAUAAGUUCUUUAGUCUUUCAUUAUACUUGGAUGAUAUCCUAUUAGUCAGGAAUGAAAUUGAGUUAAUUGUCACCACUUAGAAGUGGUUGUCUUCCACUUUCAAGAUGAAAGACAUUGGACAAGCUGAAACAUCCUCGGUGUUAAGAUCUUGAGAAAUUGUUCUAAGAAGUUCCUGAGUUUGUCUCAAGAAAAUUAUACUCAAAGGGUCUUAGAACAAUUUCGUAUGCAAAACUUCAAGCUUAUAGACAUUCCAAUGGAGAAAGGCCCAUAUUUCAACAUGGAACAAUGUCCUAAAACUGGAGAAGAAAAGAAACAAAUGGCAAACGUACCAUACACAAGUGUUGUUGGAAGUCUAAUGUACGUUAUGACGUGUACUCGACCAAACAUAUGCUUUGCGGUUGGUAUGGUCAGUAGGUACUAAAGUAAUCCUGGGAUUGCUCAUUUGGCUGUAGUCAAAAGGAUACUACAGUAUCUAAAAGGAACCAUUAAUUUGGUUUUGUGCUAUCAAGGUGGACAUCUAAAAUUGGUUGGAUAUAAUGAUGUUGAUCAAACCAGUGAUAAAGACAAUUGAAAGUUUACUUCAGGAUAUGCUUUUAUACUUGGAGGCAGAGCUAUCUCUUAGAGUAGCAAGAAGUAGCUUUUUACUGCUCUAUAUACUAUGGAAGUAAAGUAUGUAACAUGCUGUGCUGCAAUACAGGAUGUGGUUUGGUUAAGGAGAUUCUUGUAAAACUUGAACAUUACUAGGUGUCUUAGUGAAACUAUUAUACUUUAUUGCGACAACACAAUUGCCAUAGCUUAUACAAAGGAUCCGAAGUAUCAUGGAAAAGCCAAACACAUUGAUACUCGCUAUCACUACAUUCGUGACAUCAUUGCACAAGGUCUUGUUAUGUUGAAUUACAUUUCCACAACUGAUGUGUUAGCAAACCUAUUCACUAAACGUAUUGCUAGAAAUGCUUUUCAAAAGCAUUUUAGGGGUUUAGGGUUAUUACACAUUUGAUAUUCAUGUACUAUUGUUUUUGAAUAAUUAAUAAAUUAAGUCUGUGUUGACUUAUUUGUUCAAAUGUUGUUAAUUAAUUAGGGCACAUAUCUAAGGUAAUUUUUGUCACCUGGCUUUAUAGAUUAUUCCUCUCACACGGGAUAAUCACCCCAAUGCUAUAGUAGCGUAUGGGGUGAGACUUAAAUAAUCUCGAAGUACCAAGCGUUUUGUGAUCUCCUUGUCACAUGAGUUGUGAGCAAUGAUCUUAGCAAUUUUACCUUGACUUAAAAUCAAAAUGAAGCUCGUAAGAGUUAAACAUGGAGAUUAUCCACACUUCAUAGAGCCAAUGAUAGUUUGAUUUGAAUCUUAGGGGAUUCAAGUCAAUCCUUUUUGCAAGGAUUGGAUCAAGAUCCGUAUGGUGGUUUUGACAUAACAAACCCUAAAUGGAAAAUCCACGAUAAAAUACAUUUCAUACUAUAUGUGCUAUUAGCUGACUAAUGAAAGGGAAUGAUUGAAUAGAUUCUCGUUUCAUCACUGUGUGAGCCCUAAGGACACAUGUAGUCCAAAUUCCAUACCCUUUGGGACUUGGAUAUAUGAUAUGAAAUUGUGAUUUGGUGUUGCUACUUUAGCAUGAUUUCUAAGGGUAAAAAAUGAUGUGAUCUAGCGGAACAUGACUAGGAAAGAUUUUAAUGGAUUGACAUGAGUAUCCAAUGAAGAGUCAUUAUACAUCUCACAUACAUGGUCUAUAACUCAUUGCCUAGGCGAUUAUAAAACAUUAGUUGUUAGAUAUAACCAUGAGUUUAGACACAUAAAGAGAUUUUGCAUAGCUCUUACAUGUAAGAGGGAUCGAAAAUGCCAAAAUCCUGUGUGAUUAAAAUGAUUUGAGGUAUGAUGAGAACUCGAGCAAUGUUUGAUAAUUCUAUUUUAUAGAAUUAUUUUUAUCUCAAAUUGUUCUUAAAAGUUAGCUAAAUUAUUGAGUUUAAGUUAGAAUUUAGUUAUGUUUCUAAUUAGUUUAUUUUUAUUAAGUUAUUUUAUUUUAUGCUAAUUUAAUGUUUAUUUAUCUUAGUUUAGUUAUUAUUUAUUAGUUUUUAUGUUUUUGUAGGACUUUAAAAGAAUAAGGCUUAAUUGGGUGAAGAAAGGUGUUUAAGGAGUUCAGACCUUGUUUGUAUAUAUUAAGGUAUUUUGGCUAUAACUCUCACUCAAGAUGUCCAAAUGAUGCGAUUCUUAGACCACUGGAAAGCUAAGAGAUAGGGUUACAACUUUCAUGAGAUCACUUUGCCUAGUUCUACCUUGUAGAUGGAGAAAAUCGCGUUAGAAUGUGACAGAGAAUAGUAGUUAGUAAGAAGAACACAUGAAACGAAGGAAGUGUUGUGGCUUAGAUGGGGUGUGCCGUAGCAUCAAAGAGGAGAUUUUGUAGAAAUUUCUAUGGGAAUGAAAGUUAUGCAAGCUAACUUAAGUCUAUUGGACUCUGCACGUAUUCUAAACCCAUAUUAAGAGUUUUUAGGCCAAAGUAGUUUAGGAUAAAUUAUGUUAAGUUUUAGUUAUAAAUAGUUAGCUUAACGAGAAGUUAGCCACACACAUUGAGGAGAAAAUCUUAAGAGAGAUUCAAAAAGCUAGAGGUUGAGGUUGAAGAUUGAAGAUCAAGGCUACAAAAUUUGUUUACUUUCUUCUUCUAGAGCUUUUAUUAUUCUUGUUACUAUUGAUGGCUAAACUUCAUAUGUUUUUAUUUACUUAUGCAAUUAUGAGUAGUUAAAUUUAUUUUUCUAAGAUUGCAAAUAAACUCACAUGUAGUUUUAAUUUUUAAUCUCUUUCUAACUUAUUUUCAAUGGAAUUGAAUUGUUUAUUCCAAUUUUCUCUUAAUGUUAUUAGUUGUCUAGCCACCAAUUAAAUUAAUCUUGAAACCUAAACAAACUUGGGAAAGAGAGUUUAGUGUAGACUAAAAUUGGAGUAGUAUAUGAUCAUAUUUAUUUAUUUGAAUGAAUACAUUGAUUUGUGUAUAGAAUAGGAAUAUUCCUAUAUGCCAUAUGUAGCCAAUAUUAGAGCUUGAACUUAAUGAGUCUAUUUUAAUUUCAAUUCACAUAGGAAUAUAGUGUUUUGGUUGAAGUAGAUAUUUUUAUAAGAGACUCGGGAGAGCAUUAUAAAUAUUUGAGAAUUCUAGGUUACUAAUUUAACCCACUGGAAUAAGUUAAAAGAGAGAUGUAAGAUUUAGAUGAAGUGUGAGGGAUAUUAUAAUCCUAGGCCUUUCUAAAUUGAUUUUUAUUCAAUUAUCUUUUUGCUUUGAUUUUUAAUUAGUGUUAAUUAGUUUAGUUUUUGUUAAUUAAUUUUUAGUUUAAUUAGUUAUUGAAAUUUUAAUUGUUUGAAUAAGACUAAAUUGUUUUAAUUUUAGUACUUCGUAAUAUUCUAGAAGAAUUCUCUGAGGGAACGAUACUCUCCUUACUAAUAUACAAUCUGUUUGAUACAUAUACUUGCUUGGGUAGAAUUAUAAAUAACAAGUUUUUGACAUUAUUGUCGGGAAAUUAUUCUCUAGAAUUUUUGCUAAUACUAAUACCAAGCAAAUUUAGUCUUAAUUCAAUUUUUUUUUAUUUUUCUAGUUUUUAGGCAUCUUUGGUCGUUGUAUGCGAAGGAGGAACUUGAAUCUUAUUCCUUUUGAUCAAGAGAUAGAAAUAACUUUUAAAAGCCUUUGAAGGGAAAAUUUGCAAGUUCAAACUCUAAAUCAAAAAAUGGCUGAAGAUAAUAAUAAUAACGGUAACUAUGCUAGCAUUCAGAUUAUUGAAGAGAACAAAGCUUUGUGGGAUUAUGUUGUUCCCUUUUUACAAGGCUUGCACUAAAGUAUUAAAUGACCUCCUAUUAAUGCAAACAAUUUUAAGGUUCAGCCUACUUACAUUCAGAUGAUUCAAUCUUCUAUUUAGUUUGGUGGGUUACCCAACGAUGAUCCUAAUUCCCAUUUGGUUAAUUUAUUAGAAAUCUGCGUCACUUUUAAAUACAAUGGGGUGACUGAUGAUGCUAUCUGACUUAGACUUUUUCCUUUUUCAUUGAGGGAUAAGGCAAAGAGUUGGUUGAAUUCAUUGCCCACUGGAUUUAUUACUACAUGGGAAGACUUGGCUAAAAAAUUCUUGACAAAAUUCUUUCCAUCUGUAAAGACUGCAAAGUUGAGGAAUGAUAUAACGUCAUUCACACAAUUUAAUAGUGAAUCCUUAUAUGAGGCUUGGGAACGAUUUAUAGAUUUGCUUAGAAGAUGUCCACACCAUAGGCUUCCUUAAUGGCUUCAAGUUCGGACAUUCUAUAAUGGGUUGGUCAGUUCAAUCAUAUCUACAAUUGAUGCCACUACUAGUGGGGCAUUGAUGGAUAAAAAUCCUGAUGAAACUUAUAAUUUGUUGAAAGAGAGGCAUAUAAUAAUUACCAAUGGCUUUCCAAAAGAUUUGGUUCUAGAAAAGCUACUAGUGUUUAUGAGAUUGAUGCACUGAAUGCCUUGACUGCACAAUUAGCUGCAUUGACAAAAAGAUUUGAUACAAUGAGAGUUAAUGUUGUCCAAAAAUCCUUGAUAACUUUUGAUUUGUGUGGAGAUAGCCAUUCAUGUGAUCAAUGUCCAUCUAAUCCUAAAUUAGUUCAAUUUGUUGGGAACUUCAACAGGUAGCAAAAUAACCCAUAUUAUAAUACCUAUAAUCCUAGUUGGAGAAACCAUCCAAACUUCUCUUGGAAUAAUAACCCAAGACCUUCAAAUCCAAGGCGAAACAUUCCUUUUGGCUUUCUACAACAAGUAAGAUCUCUUGUCCUUGAGAAAAAGCAUACUAUGGAAGAGAUGUUCAUGCAAUUCAUGACAAAGACUAAUGCCUACAUGACAAAGAAUGAUGACAUCAUUCAGGAUCAAGUAGCAUCAAUUUGCAAUCUUAAGAUUCAAAUGGGACAACUUGCUAGCUCCAUCAAUAAUAGACCCCAAGGUGCCUUGCCAAGUGAUACUCAAGUCAAUCCUAAAGGUAAGGAACAAUGCAAUGCAGUUACCCUUAGGAGUGGAAAAGAAGUUGAAAAGGUAAGUGAAAAAUCAAUUGAAUCUUCAAAAGAGCAUAUGGAUGAUAAAUAGGUAAUUGUUGAGAAAGAAGUUGAAGUUGAAAAGAAAGAUGAUGGGAAGCUAAAAAAUCAAGUGAAGGCUCAAGCAAAUUAUCCUCCACCACAUUUCCCACAAAUAUUGAAAAAGUAAAAGCUUGAGAAGCAGUUUGAGAAAUUUCUCCAUGUCUUCAAGAAGCUCCACAUAAAUAUCCAUUUGCUGAAGCUUUGGAAAACAUGCCAAGCUAUGUUAAGUUUUUGAAAGACAUCCUAACCAAGAAGAGGAAACUAGAAGACUUUAAAAUAGUUACAUUUACUAAGGAGUGCAAUGCUAUAAUUCAAAACAAGCUUUUACCAAAGCUUAAGGAUCUAGGGGGUUUUCUAUCCCUUGUACUAUUGGUAAAUUUAAAUUUUCUAAUGCUCUAUGUGAUUUGGGUGCUGGUGUUUCAAUUAUGCCUUGGUCAAUUGCUAAGAAAGUUGAACUUGAUGAGAUACAACCUACAACAGUUUCUUUGCAAUUAAUAGAUAGAACAAUCAGAUACCUUGUUUGGAUUAUUGAGGAUGUGUUGGUUAAAGUUGGGCAUCUCUACAUUCCAAUGGACUUCAUUGUGCUUGAAAUGGAAGAAGAAGUGGAAAUUCCUUUAAUCUUGGGACAACCAUUCUUGGCUGCUGUUGGUGCAAUCAUUGAUGUGAGGGAAGGCAAAAUAAUUUUUAAAGUUGGAGAAAAGUAGUUGAGUUUAAUAUUUUCAAAGCAAGUAAACAUCUUGCCUUUACAACUAGUUGUUAUUAAAUGAAGUCAGUUAAUGAUGGCAAGCGUGAGCCUGUUUCUCCAUUUAUAAGUGAGCAAGCACCAAUCUUUAAAUUUAAGCUACCACCUCUGCAUAUUAAGCCCAAGCAGUCACCAAAAGAGCAUCCUCCACCACCAUCCAGUAGUCCUUUUGAGGUUUGACAACAAGUAAUGUUAUCAUUUAGAUCACACUUUAAGCUUUUUCCAUGGAAACAUAAAGUAAGAUGGAUGGGUCCUUUCAAAGUGGUAAAGGUUUAUCCAUGUGGAAUAAUAGAGAUUGAUAAUGAGGAUACGAGCACAUUCAUGGCUAAUGGACUAAGCCUCAGGCUGUAUUCUGAGAAGGAAGAAUUACAAAUAGGGGUGCUAUGAUGACUUUUGUAUUUUCUUAAGAGAAAAAGUUAGCAAGGAGAAAACCUCCUUUUACUAUUCAAAAAACACUUUUGAAGACCUCAUUAAUAGUUUAACUUUAUUAUCAAUUUUGCACAUGCAAGUAUACGCAUCGAACAAGUAAUAUAGUGAUGAAGUAGAGUAUCAUUCCCACGGAGAUUUGUUUCUAAAGUUUCACUAAAUACUAAAAUUAUAAAACAAAUUAAUCUUAUUUAAGUAAUCAAAAAAUUACAAAAAAAUUACUUAAAAACAAUUAAAAAUCAACACUAAAUAAACUAACAAACUAAAUAAGUUAAAAAAAGUAGCAUAUUAAAGACCUAGGAUUAUGGGUUCAUUCAACAUUUCAUUUAAUACCAUUUUUUCUUAUUAUUUAUCUUUCUCGGGUGGUUUUACUAACCUAGAAUCCAAAGCUAUGGACAAGUCUCCGUCAAGUUGCUUGUACAAAUACCUAACUUAAUUAGUUCACUAUAUGUCUGUAAGAAUAAAUUAAAUCAAGUUCAUUAAGCAAGUGUCCUAAUGUGGCUAUGUAUGGUAAUUGGCAUAUGUCUACCAAAAUCGUGAAUCAGAUCACCUAAGUGACGUGAACAUACACUAUUCAAACCUUAGUCCAAUCUAAAAUCUCUCUGUCGAAUCUCAAUUAGAUUCACAAAUUAGUUAAUUGUUGGCCAGAUAAUCAAAAGCAUUAAGAACAGAUUUGGAUAAGCAAAACAACACCCAUUCAUGAUAAAUAAAAGAGAAACUAAUAUGCAAACUACAUGUUGAAAUCUACCAUAAUCCUAGAAAGAUAAUUUAGCUCAUGAUAACUAAUAAAAACAACAUUCAAAGAAAUUUAGCCAUGAAUCCAAGUCAAAGAAAAUAAAAGAAACACAAAAGUAGAGAAUUAAACUAAUUAUUAAAGCUUUGCAAUCUCAAUUCUCUAUCAAAUUCUCUUGUAUUCUUGCUUUGUUCUUAGCUCCAAAUCUCCAAAAUAAUUGCUUUCUACCUCCUCUUUAAAAUCUCUGAAAAAGGUCCCUUAAAUAGGGUCCAAGUAACCUAAUUUCUAAAAUAAUGUCAAAUUUUUAUUUUUGAAAAAUCACCUAGCACUACGGUGUUGAGCUCUCUAGAAAAUUUGUUGUGUGCUUCGUUUCACUAGUGUUGCAGCCUUGAUCUUCUAACAAUGCAGCAGUUUAUUAAAUUCGAAUAUGAUUUUUACCCUUAUCUGUUUCAAACUAGGUAAAGUGGUAAACAUAAAAGUUUUUGUCCUGUCUCUUAGCGUUCCAAUGGCUCAAGAAUUACAUCAAUUGAAAUUUGGAUUGAAAGCUAUGCUUCAAAUACUGCAUCAUGUUUAGUCCAUGCAUACUUCUACAGUGCUCUGACUUAGACAAAUAUUUUGACCAUGAUCCGAUGAGAACUGGGCGAAGUUGUAAACAUAAAAGUUGUAUCCCUUCCUCUUAGAAGUCUAAUGGUUUAAGAAUAACUUCAUUUGGAGUUCUGUAGAGAGAGAUAUGGUCAAAAUACCGCAACAUAUAUGAAUGAAGCCAUCACCAUACUUACACGGAUUUUCAUAAAAUGAGCAUUUUUCAUCAAAUUUCCUACAAAAGAAAUAAAAGAAACUAGCAAUAACUACUCUUAAAGUAAUUUAGAACAAAAUAACAUAAAAUUUAACUUAAAUAACUUAAAUUAACUACUCAACAUGUAAUUAGACAUAAAUUAGAAAAAUACCUAAAAUACUAAAAUCUGAACAUAAAAUCUCAAAGAUUUAGCUACUUAAGCCUCCAAAAUGUAUCGAAAUAACUUUAUAUAAUAGAGUUAUCAAGCUUCUAACUCAUAAUUUAUCUGUCCAGAAGACUUGGGAAAGUAUUUGGGAAUUCCCAUAAUCCACUGGGGCAAAGGUACGCUAUCUUUCCGAUACUUUGAAGAGAAAAUUUGCAGUCUUUUAAGCUAUUGGAACGCUUUUUCCCUAUCUUUUGUAAGUAGACUCAACUUAAUUAAAUUGGUUCUUACUACUAUACCUUAUUAUUCAAUGUAAACUAUGGCUAUACUGGUUUGUAUAUGUGGGAGAAUUGAGACACUAUGUCAUAAUUUCCUAUUAGGGAGGAGACUUGAAUAAUAAAAAAAUUCAUUUUAUGAGUUGGAAAGAUGUGUGCAGACCUAAAGAAGGUGGCUUAUGUAUUCGUUGUUUAAGAACUAUGAAUGAUGUGUUUAUACUCAAAGUAUGUUGGUAUUUUAUGUCUAAACCAAAUGCUUUAUGGGUGACAAUUGUUUGUGGAAAAUAUAACAUGAGGUCAUCUUUGAUACCAGACAAUGUAGAUUGAAUGGGUUCCUUUCGUUUUUGGGCUUCAAUAAGUCAACUUUUGUAACGACCCUUCCUCGAUCACUACCGACGUCCGAGACCUUUGGGAAAGACUCGCCAAGUCUUGAACAAGCCUUACUCAAAAUGCCCGUUAGUUCACUAUAUACGAUCCCAUUCCAUAUUGAUACUAAAAAUAAUAUACUCUCAUACAAUCAAUUCAAGUUUUAAAUCAUAAACACAAUAAUCAAUUCAAGCUUUAAACCAUUUAAUCACAAGUAUAUACAUCGAAAUUCACUUUCUUCAAUUAUUUACUUAUAACAAAAUCAAUAUUCAUUUACAACUUAAUAAAUAAAGUGCUACGACUCGACCUCUAACAGCAGAGCGACUCAAGAUAAAAUGCUAUGAGAUGCCUUUACCUAUUUGCGAUGGACCAUACAUGUCGAUGAUUACACAUUAGGCCGAUCCCUGUUUGCAAAAAGGGGAAAAAAGGGGUGUGAGUCUCACAAACUCAGUGAUCAUCGGCUCCAUGAGUAGGGCGUAAAUGAGAAACAAGUAAUAAGGUAGAGAUUUUGAAUAAUAAAAAUUGCAAGAGUGGAUAAAAAUAUUUAAUUCAAACGGGGAUUUGUGCCUUAUAUGUAUAAAAGAAAAUAUCGAGAAUCUUUUGUAACUCGUAAUCCACCAUAAUAUACGUCAAAUCAAGUAAGUAAACUUUAGUACAGUGAGAAGGUUAAUAACCAUUUUCAAACUAAAUUAGUAAAGUAUCAUUUUAAACCUCGUGUUCGUAAAAGAUCUCUGCAGUCGAAAUUAUCUCAUAUAAUACUCAAAUCAAGUCAAUAAAAUUGGGCAAGCUAUCGCGAAACCAAAUAAUAACCAGGUUUAUACACAGUUCACAAAUCACUUUGCACGCGAGGGUAAAGUUCAUAUAACAGUAAAACUAGGGGGAGUUGCGGGAAACCGCAUAAUUUUGUUUUCACCAUGCAAGAAAUAAGAGUCUGAAAACCUAAAAAGAUUUUUGUCUCGAGUAAGAAAUCAAAUAAACUCAAUGGUCCCGCUACCUCGUAAUAACCUUUGGGAGCCUCGCUCCACCGGAUCCCACAUGCAAUGGCAACCUCAACAAUGUUGGCCGACAUUGGAGAAUCAAGCGGUCACAAUCGCGUAAUCAUCUAAUGGCCUAGCCAUGUAUACAUAUAUCACAGGUCAUGGUCCCUGCCACACCUAGCCACCCGUCAGCCUCCCAAAGGUUCUCUAGCUAGAGCUCACUCGUGCACGAGGGUCACACUUAACCGAAGUGACAACCAGCCUACUCUUGAAUCUCUCAUUUUGUUAAACCAUUUUAAAAUUACAUUACGUCCUUGAAAACUUGUGUCAAAAUUAUUUCCAAAGCAUCCAUAAUGGUAUAAAUAAAAUCUAUCAUUUUCUCAAAAUAAAUUUAUGCAGGAAUUUCAAGACAAUAAUUUGCAUGGUGGAUAAGAAAUAUAACCAUGAAUGCACACUGCACAAAUAUAAAACACAAAUUUUGAGGUAAAACAGUGUGAAGGGCUUGUUUCCCGAUUUUCAAAACACUUUGCAUAUAAUUUAUACAUAUAUAUAUAUAUAUAUAUAUAUAUAUACAAAAUGAUUUCUAAACAUAAUUUGCAACAACAAUUUCCUAAGAUUGAUACCAGCACAUGCUAUCCACAAUUUUCGCGUUUAAAAUAAAUCAUACGUGUAGGUAUAUAUUUACGAAAAUUUUAAAAUUGACACCCCCUACUCACCUCAUAAUAGAGGGACACUACAUCACUAUUUCUACUUGCCGGUUGCUUAUCACUUGCUCCGGCACGCCGUUAUAGUACACUAUCUUACUUUGGACUUCCAAUUUGGGCUGGGUGGCCCAAGUUUCCACAUUUCUUUUCUCUUUUGGACUUUUCUUUUCUUGUUGCCAUUAGGCCCUUCUCAUGGGCUUUUCCCAUUUCUUCUUAUUGGGCUAGGCCCAUUUUUUCUCUCUCUCUCUUUUUCUUGGCCAGCAGCACCUUUUAUUUUUCUUUUUUUCUUCUUUUUUCUUCUUUCUUUUCCCUGUCGACAUCCUACCUGUCUUCUCUCCCUUUUUCCUUUCUUUUCCUUCUUUCUUUCUCCUUUUUCAACCUAUCGACCUUCCCUUCUCCUCACUUGCACCGCCCGGUAAGCCUUCUCUUUCUCAAAAUCAACUUCACAACCUCCCCUACCUCCCUAAAAAAUCGACAGCACAAAGCCUCUUUUGUCCUUCACAAUCCGAUAGCAAACAACCUCCAGUUUUCCUGCACAAACCAGCAGAACAAAGCCCGCUUUGUCUUUCACAAUUCGACAGCAAACAACCUCCAUUUUUCUUGUACAAACCGACAGCAACACAGCCUUUCUUUCUUACCCUCAUGCUGCCAUUUUUUUGCUCUCUCACCAGCACUUUGUCUCCCUUUUCUUCCUUGGCCGGUGACUUUUCCUUUUUCUCUCUUUCUUUUUUUUUCUUGGUCCUUCUCCAGCCGACCUUAUCCCUAUUUUGACAAGUCAAUUUACUUUUCAAAUAUUUUAGUUUCUUUUCUACCUUUAUUGAUUGUAUUCAGCCGGCCCCUACCAUCAUUUCCUUUUCUAUCCAUUUGGCAGGCCCCACCACCACCAUUUCUUCACACGGGUGUUACAACUUUGGGAUGUCUUUAAGAAGAGUGUUCACUAGGAAUUUGUAAUGGUAAAAUUGCACGGUUUUGUAUUGAUGUUUAAAUUGGUGAACAACCAUUAAUAGAGGUUGUUAGAACCAUGGGAAUGAGUUUUGAAGACCAUAGUUUUGUUAAUGAGUUCACAUUGCCAAAUGGAGAAUGGGAUCUAAACAGGUUAGCUUUUUUAUUUCUGAAUGGGAAGUUAAAUUUAAUAGCUAACUCAAUCCCACCUAUUUCUUCCACUUUACCAAAUAAACCUUAUUAGAUGCCGUCAUCAUUUGGACAAUUUACAGUGGCCUUUGCUUAUGAAAUAUUGAGGAAGGUACUAGUUUCACAUGUGGAAGUAAAUAGUGGAAUAUGGAAGUUGGCAUGGAGAUGGAGUGGAUCGCAACAUAUAUGGAUGUUUUUACUUUAGUGCCUACAAGAAUGUAUUCUUACCAAUAAGGAGAUAGCCUGUCGACGCCUAUCAAAUGAAACUUCUUGUCCCCAAUACAAGUUAAAGGAAGAAUCAGUGCUACACAUGUUAAAAGACUAUUCUGUUGCUAGGCUAGUUUAGACUAAAUUGUUACCACAUGGAGAAGUAGGGCAAUAUCAACUAUCAACCAUGUAAGAAUGGCUAUCAUUUAAUCUUAAUGGAAUCAUACUGAAGGAAAUAAAAUUAGUGUUAUGAAUAUAUGUGUGAAUAUUUAUUAUAUUAUGUAUAUCUAGAUUUGAAUAUAAAUUAGAUUGGAUUAAGCUUAGGAUUUAAUCCAUCCAUCUAAUCCUUUAGUAUUAUCUUUAUCUUUUUAAUUCUAUCUAGAUAAGGGAUUAUUAGCUUAUAAAUAGGCCUCUCACUUUUUUUUGUAAAUAUACACUCAAAUAAGAUUUUUUUUAUUCUCUAUAUACUUUUUCUCAUAGUUGUUCUUUCAAGUUAUAUUUCAUAAUACGUCAUCAGCACGAUUUUUUAAUCUCUUAAGUUUUGGUAUUAUUAGUUACAUCAUCUCCAACUUCAAAAGGAUUUCAAUGGUUGAUAUUUGAUUUUUGGUUUUAGCAAAUCAGGGAUGUGACUUAGGAAAUUAGAUAAGUGGCUUGAUAUCUUUUUGGUGCUUUCAUUUAAAUUAACAGAAAUAUAUGAAUACAUUUAACCACCAAAAGUGAAUGGAUACAUUCAAACCACUAAAGUGGCUGAAUACUUUUAACUCACCAGAAAUGGAUGAAUAUUUUUAACCCACUAGAAAUGGAUGGAUACUUUUAACUAAUUAGAAGUGGAUGAAUAGUGAUGAGAUUAAAUGAAAAGACAAAAGUGGAUAGAAUAAAAGGAAUACAGAAAAUGUUUUGUCAUCUAUGUGGUAUGAAAGGUCAUUGGUCACAUACUUGUUAUAUGUUGAAACAUUUUGUUAAACUUUAUCAAGCAUCACUAAAAGCUAAAAGAAAAAAAAUAUCGCAACAAAUUGUUUCAAGUUGAUUUCAAUCAUGACCAAGUUGAUAUAACACAUCAAGAUGUUGCUAAUUUUCUUGUCCACCCUGAAGGAGGAAUUGAUCAUUUGAUUGGUUCGAAAUAUCCAAAAAUAAAAUUUCUAUAUAGUUUGUUGAUAUGUUUUAUCAUAACCUUAUUAUGAAGAUAUUAUUAUAAGUUCUCAUUAUAUUUAAAUGAUACUUCUUGUUAUGUGUUUUAAUAAUUAAUUAUAUAUUUAAUAUUCUCUUAUAUUAACUUGCAAGUUUUUUAUUGUAUAUAUCUUAUUUUAUUAAAAAAAAUGCAUAUUAAUUUCGUUGAAUCCAAGAUCAAUUAUGUAGAUAUAUGUCUAGCAGAUAUUGCUACAACGUAUACUAUAUUUAAAAAUAAGAAAUAUCUUUUUCACUUGAUAAUGGAAAAAGCUAAUGUCAAUACAAUAUCUAGUAGUACAAGAUUAAUUGAAGGCUUCGGAAGAGUUAAUAUUUUACUAUUCAAAGGAACAAAGUUUAUAAUAGAGAAUGCAUUAUCUUCAACUAAGUCUCAAAGAAAUAUAUUAAAUUUUAAAUAUAUUUGUCUACAUUGAUAUCAUGUUGAGACAAUGAAUAAAAGAGACUUCAUACCUCUAUAUUAGAUUUAUUAUCUAGGGUAAGAAGUGUGUGUUGGAAAAAUUGCCUACUUUGUUCUCUAAACUGUAUUACACAAGUAUUAGAAUGAUUGAAACUUAUACUAUAAUAAAUCAGAAGUUUACUAAUGAUUCUAAUGUUUGGCAUGACCAGUUGGCCAUCUCGAUUCAAUAAUGAUGCAAAACAUUAUUGAAAAUUUAUUUAGUUAUCUAUUGAAAAACUAGAAGAUUUUUUAAUCUAAUGGAUUCUCUUGUGUUGCUUGCUCUAAAGAUAAAUUAAUUAUAAAGCCAUCACCAGCUAAAGUUGGGACUAAAUUUCAAACAUUUUUGGAAUGUAUUUAGGAUGAUAUAUGCAGACCCAUACAUUCGCCACAUGAACCAUUUAAAUAUUUUAUAAUUUAAUCGACGCAUCCACUAAAUAAUCACAUGUAUGCCUAUUAUCAACUUGCAAUUUGGCGUUUGCAAGAUUACUUACCAAAAUCAUUUGUUUACGAGCACGUUUUCUUGAUUAUAAAAUCAAGACUAUUUAUAUUGAUGAUGUUGUUGAAUUUACAUCUUAAGACUUUAAUAAAUAUUGCAUAUUAGUUGGAAUAACUGUUGAACAACUUGUUGUUUAUGUUCAUACACAAAAUGGUCUAGCAGAAUCGUCUAUUAAACACUUCCAACUGAUUGCAAGAUCAUUGCUUAUGAAAACUAAACUCCCCAUUUUUGCUUAAGGAGUUACCAUUUUGUAUGUAAUAGCACUUAUACGUAUCAUGCCAACGAGUUAUCAUAAAUUUUUCCUUAUACAAUUGGUUAAUGGUCAGGGGAUCAAAUAUUUUUCAUUUAAGAAUUUUUAGAUGUGCUGUAUAUGUCCUAAUUGCUCCACCACAAUGCACAACGAUGGGUACUUAAAAGAGGUUAGGAAUAUAUGUUGGAUACGAAUCUCCAUCUAUAAUUAAAUAUCUAGAACUAUUAAGAGGAGAUUUAUUCACAGUAAGGUUUGUCAAUUGUCAUUUUGAUGAAACAAUUUUUCUAACAUUAGGGAGAGAAAAUAAGCAGCUGGAAAACAAAAUUUCUUGAAAUGCAUUAUCAUUAUCUAGUUUUGAUCUUCACACAAAUUAAUGUGAACUUGAAUUUCAAAAUAUAAUUCAUUUGCAAAAUAUAACAAAUUAGUAGCCAAACAUAUUUACUGACCUAAAGAGAAUAACUAAAUUUCUUAUACCAGGUGUAAAUGCUCCUCUUAAAAUUGAUGUUCGUGUAUGACAAGGUAUGCUAGAAGCGUGGAAAACUAAUCAGUUCUAAAGAUAAAAUCCUUGAAAAAGAAAAAGAGCAAAUAUUCAAAAUGGUCAGAAAGAGGAAACAAACACUUUAGAAAAAACUCCUGACAUAAUUGAUAAAAUUUCAGAAGAAAUUUCAGUACCUGAAAUCAUUAAAAUGUAGGGAUCUCAAUAAAUUAUGUCAUGAUAAGAACAGAUAGAAUCAAAAUGAAAUAAACUUCGACGAUAUUUUUGGAUAUAAUGUAACGCUUAAUAUUAUAAAAAAAAAGAUCUCGAACUUACAUUUAUUGAAGAAUGUAGACAUAGAAAUGAUUGACCUAUGUUGAAAGAUGCAAUUUAGGUGGAAUUGAAUUCAUUUGUAAAAUGUGAAAUUUUUGGACCUAUAGUCCAUAUAACAAAUGGUAUAAAACUAGUGGGAUCCAAAUGCGUAUCUGUACAAAAAUAAAAUAAGAAAAAUGAGAUUGUGAGAUAUAUAAAGUACAACUUAACGCACAAGGUUGACAUAUUCUCUUGUGGUGGAUUCAAUUAUAAUUUUUAUAUUUAAUUAGUCUGACAAUAUAUGAGAAGAUUAAAAUGCGUCUAAUGAAUGUAACUACAGCCUAUCUAUAUGGCUCAUUUGAUAUUGAUAUCUCUAUGAAAUCCCUAAAAGAUUUAAGUUGCUUGAAGCACAAAAUUUGAAUUCUUGAAAAUUUUUUUCAAUUAAAUUAAAUAAAUAUGUAUAGGGAUUAAAACAAUCUAAAUGCAUAUGGCAUAAUCACCUUAGUGACUGGCCUUAGUGAAUAUUUGUUGAAAUAAGGUUAUAAAAUGAUCUUAUAUACCCAUGUGUUUUUAUAAAAAGAUUUGGAUCUAAAUUUAUCAUAAUUACUAUUUAUGUUGAUGACUUGAAUAUUAUUGGAACUCUUAAAGAGUUAUCAAAAGUUGUGGAUUAUUUAAAAAAAGAAUUUGAGAUAAAAGACCUUGGAAGAACAAAGUUUUGUUUGAGUCUUUAGAUUAAGCAAUUAACAAAUGGAAUUUUUGUCCAUAAAUCAAAUUAUAUAGCAAAAGUGCUAAAGCAAUUCUACAUGGACAAAGCACAUCCAUAGAGUUCACAAAUGAUUGUAAGUUCGCUAGAUGUGAAAAAAGACCAUUUUCAACCUCGUGAGGAUUAUGAAAAACUUCUUGGUUUUAAAGUACCAUAGCGUAGUGCAAUUAGAGCACUAAUGUAUCUUGCUAGUAAUAAAUGAUCUGAUAUAUCAUUUGCUGUAAAUUUAUUAGCAAGAUAUAGUUCUUCUCUACCUCGAAAACAUUAAAAGGGAAUUAAACAUAUACUUUUAUAUCUCCAAGUAACAAUGGACAUGAGUUUAUAUUAUUCAAAUGUAUCAAAAUCAAAUUUAAUUGAUUAUGCAGAUGCAGAAUAUUUAUCUGAUUUGCACAAGAUUCAAUCCUAGAUAGGUUACUUAUUCACAUGUAGAGGUAUGACUAUUUCAUAGUAUUUUGUAAAACAAUCUAUAUUUGCUACUUCUUUUAACCAUACAGAAAUUUUGACAACUCAUGAGUCAAGUCAUGAAUGUAAUCUGUAACUCAACAUAUUUGAGGAACAUGUUACUUGUCAAUCAAUAAGUAAAUUUCAACAACAUUAUAUGAAGAUAAUACCACUUGCAUACUCUAGUUAAAGGAAGAAUACAUUCAAGGCCAUAGAGAAAACACAUUUCACCAAAGUUCUUUUUCACUCAUGAUCUCCAAAAAAACAGUGAUAUUAGUGUUCAACAAAUUUGUUUAAGUGAUAAUCCAGUAGAUUUAUUCACCAAAGCCAUUCCUACUACAACAAUUGAAAAAUUGGUACAAAAGAUUGGAAUGUGCUAUUUUAAAGAUCUUAAAUAAUGCAAUCAUCAGGGGAAAUAAAAUAUGUACUAUACUAUUUUCCUUCAUCAAGGUUUUUCCCACUGGGCUUUUCUUGAUAAGGUUUUUAAUGAGGCAGUAUUUUAAAAGUGUAGUCUUGAAAAGAAUUAUGUAUUUUUUUCCUUCAACCGGAUUUUUUUCCCAUGAGAUUUUUUUCUAGUAAAGUUUUACUAAGACAUAUUCUUAAUAUAAUGGAUAUUCAAAGGGGAGUGUUAUGAAUAUAUGCGUGAAUAUCUAUUAUGUUAUGUAUAUUUAGAUUCGGAUGUAGAUUAGAUUGGGUUAACAUUAGGAUUUAAUCUAACCAUCUAAUCCCUUGGUAUAUCUAUAUCAUGUAAAUUUUAUCUAGAUACGGGUUAUUAGCCUAUAAAUAAGGCUCUCACUUCAUUUGUAAAUACAAACUCAAAUAAGAUCUUCUUAUUCUCUAUAUACGUUUUCUCAUAGUUAUUCUUUCAAGUUAUAUUUCAUAACAAAUUGUACAUUUAUUUGAAAAAAGAAUUCAAUUCCACAACAUUGCUUAAUAAAUUUGAUGCAUUGCUUCUAAGAGGAUCCUUGAAAAGUAUCGUGCCAAUAAGACAUUAAAAGGCCAUGUUCACUAGAAAAUUUGUUAAACGAUUGGAUUCGAGAUACACAUAAAUUAUUCUAACUUGCCAUUCCUUCUUCAACAAAUCUUUGAUAGUUGAAGUCAAGUCUGAAUUAGUAUUUGGCUCAUUUAUUUUCAUUUGAAUUACCUUGCAGCGAUUUUGUUGGCCAUAGCCAACAUCACCUGGUGACAUCUCAUUCUAUGCCAACGACAAACUCUAAUAAACACCCCAUAAUUUUGCUCCAUAUGCAAAACAAUUUUGAAGUGUAUCUGAAAAGCCGCAUUUCCAAUUCCCAAAGUGGCCAUGAAAAACACCUCUCGCAGUGGAUGGAUGGCCUCAUAGUGUUCUUUUUUUUUAUUGUGAUAGGAUUCCUCUAUCACAAUUGAUGGUCAAAUCGAAUAGCUACCCACCCAUGUAAUUCCAAUGCUAACUAACAAAAGAAUUACUUCUACAAAGCGUUUUGGCUCAACAACUCUCUUUCUCUCUCUUUUUUUUAUAAAAAUAAAGUUUCCAUACCACAUUUCUCAUUUUUUUCUUUCCUUUAAAGUUUCAGCAGCAGUUUCUCUUAGGGAUUCAACAGGAUUUUAAUUUGAAUACUUGCUGAAGAAUAUGAAAAAAGCGUGAAAGAGGUUUUAGGAAAAAGUGAAAAUAUUUUAAUCUUUAAUUUUAAUGGGAGAAAAAGAAGGGGAAAAGGAAGAUAAUAGAGUUAGAGAAAAAACAAAGAGGAAUCAAACAAAAGAAAAGAAUGGAGAAAAAAAGGAAAUUUUUUUAUUUAAUUAAUUAUUAAAAACUUUUGGGUAAAAUACCCAGACUCUUUAAACUUUUAAGCAUAAUUUAAGAUGGGUUUAUUAAUUUUUGAUAUGAAUAAUGAGACCCAAAAGUGCAAACACCGUUAAUAAAAAAUAUGAAAUGAUUAAAAUACUUUUUCUUUUUUCUCUCCUAUUUUUUUCUUUUAAAAAUGUAGUCGAUCGACGAUGCUCCCAUUCAUCGGUCGGCUACCCAAUAGCUAGAUCUCACCAUCCAUGGCUAGAUCUGGCUAGAUCUAACGCAUUCCCGAUAAGGAGUGCAAUUUGGCUGCACUCCUCAAAAGGAACGCAGAUUGUGCUCUUCAAAAGGAACGUCGAUCGCGUUCCUCACAACUGAAUCUUGCCAUCCAUGGGGAGCACAGGGGUAGGGGCGUGGCUCCCCUGGGGAGUUCGGGGGGAGAGAGAUCCGACUGAAGCCAGAUUUGGCGCUCCUUUGCCUGAGAAAAAAGAAUUAAAAAUGAAAAAUUAUAGUUCAUAUGAUGUGGUGAUUUUUACAAUUUAUGAAGAGUAAAAUUAUCUUUUCAAUAUUGAUAUGUCAUCAAACUAAAGAAACAUUAACGAUUGACUAAUAGCUAAACUUAUGUAUCAAGUGAAAGAUAUUCUUUUGGAGCGGACUAUGCAUUUCGAAUAUUAAUGGAUUCACAUGGAAUUAUAACUAAAAAUUAAGAGAUUAUGCUAUUUUACCGAAAACUUUUUAAUAUUUAAGUUUAAGUCCUUAAAGAUUUUUAAUUUUACUUUAUUAAUGAGAUAAUAGCAUUUGGUGAGCUUGUGUCAAGUUUGCAUCAAAUAUAAAUUCUAUGUGUGCUAUUUUUGGGACUAUGUGGAUGUUUUUGCUACUGCGGUUUAUGGGCGGUAAGGAGUUUACAAGGGAAUCAGAAACAAUCAAUGAAGAAAUAAGGCUGUGUCGGAUGGAUUCAACUGAUGAGUAUGCAUUGAGUUUUGAUCAAAGUGUUGCACAUUUGUGGAUAGAAUGGCUUUUGCAACUAGUGGAAGUAUGGAUAGUUGUGUAAGUAAAUUUCGACGUUUGUAUGAAACAGGAGUAGUGGUAAUUAGGUUAGCCUGUCUUGGAUCCUGUUAAGCUGCCCACUUUUUGUUUAUAGGUUGUUGGCUUUUGAUGAGAGCCUUUAGGACCUUUUGAUGUUAACGCCACUGUUUACUCAAUGACUGGUUUUUUUUUUUGACAAAUGUACAUAUUCUCUUUAUCCAGAUUGGAGCUCUCUGUGUUAGGAAAGUCUUUUGCGUUCUAAGCAAGAGACUUAAAAUGAUAUUACAAUGCUGAAGUUAAUAAUAAUUUUGUUUUUAAAAAAAUUAAAAAAUUAAAAAAUAAAUAUUUUUUUUGGAGUGAAAUAUGAUUUCAUUACCUUAUUAAAUUGAAUUAAAUCUGACAUAUAAAUAUAUAAAGAGACAAUCACUAAUACUCACUAUAACUUAAGAAAUCUUCCCUUUACAUGGUUAAAGAGCCUCAUUAAAAACCUAUUCAUAAAAAAACCCUGAGGGAUAAAAACCAUGAGUAAAGGAAAAGAGUACCCUUUGAAUCAUAUAAUCAUUGGGAUUGCAAUAUCCAUCCUCAACCUAACCACCUUCAAAUGAACUUCUAGCCUCUCGAAUGAUAACAAGUUGAAUAUCAUCAGGCAUGUGAGAUCAAUCAAACCAAGCCAUCGCUUCCUCACUCAUGUCUUUUGCCCUUUUAACCAACAAAUGCGCCACUUCAUUACCUUCUCUUAGACAAUGGAGAAUAGCAUCACAAUCAAUGCUCACUAUUAGAUUAAGGCAAUCUUCUACAAUAUGGCCUAAGACACCAGACAAGUGUUUUCGUUUAAUCCAAUCAACCACCACCUUGCAAUCCAUUUCAAUCUCCUUUAUCAUCAUAUUCUCCAUUUGGCAGCAACGUAGAGACCAAACUAAGGCAACUAAUUCAGUUUCCUCCAUUGUUUGACCUGUGUGCAUUCUUUUUGAGCCAGCUAAUUCGACCUCCCCUGAUACAUUACAAACAACAAAGCCAGCUCCCAUCCACCUUUCACCUGUUAACUCAAAUGUAGUUGCAUCCACAUUCAAUUUCUUCCUCUUAGCGCUCUCCAUUUACAUGUUCUAUGUUGUUGAGAGUUCGUCCUCCUUAUCCUUACCCCAUUAAUAGACUUGUAUUGCUCUAUCAAAUUGCCAGCUAACUCUAUUACUUGUAGCAGCUCAUAACUCUUGUUCUUGAAAAUUGUCAUAUUACGUGCUUUCCAUAAAGCCCAUAAGACUCUCACAAUUUCUUCUGUCUCUUUUUUCUCCACCAUGUGGAAUAAAUGAAAUAUCCAAUCUUGCACAAAAGAGAACAUCACCUCUAAUUGCCUAAAACCCUAUUUCGAAAUUAACCAUACUGCCCUAGCUAUCAAGCAACAGCAAAGACAAUGGAAAGCCAAUUCCAUCUCAUUGUCACAAGAUGGGCUAUUAACUUAGUAAUAAUGUGCCUUUGAGUUAAUGCUUGACGAGUUGGGAGAAUACCGUUAAUUGCCUUCCACAUGAACAAAAUGACUUUCCUUCAUAUGUUUAGAUGCCAAAUUCAUUUCCAAAAACCCAUUAUAUUUCUACUUAAACUUCCAGCAUCAUGCAACGACAUAAAAUAGUGAGUCAUUUUAUACCCCGAAUUCACAGAGUAGUGGCCAUGCAUAUUAUAGAACCAAACCUGUUUAUCAAUAGGUCGUUUAUAGCCAAAGGAAUUGCCAAAUCAAACCACGUUCAUAAGGAGGAAAUAAAGUGGUAAUUUUCUCUUCAUGCCAUGUCAUAUUUCUGUGAUUAAUCAACUCUGAAACCUUCAUAGCAUCAUCAAUUUAGUGAUCAGAAAAAGUGAAAAGCCUAGGUGACUCAUACGGAAUCCAAUUAUCCUUUAAGACGCUAAUACUCUAACCAUCACUUACUCUCCAGAUUAAUCCCUUGUUGACCAUUUGCUGACUCUUCCGAAUACUUCUCCAUAAAUAGUUUGGGUUAGCACCAAUUGGCGUGUUUAAAAAAUCUAUAGUAGGGAAGUAUCUUUCUUUAAGAACUUUGUAAGCAAAAGUAGGUUCUUUCAUUUGGAGUCUCCAACCCUGCUUCGCAAGCAUGGCUAAAUUGAAACAUUUGAUAUCUCUGAAACCUAUUUCUCCUAAAAAUUUAGAUUCACACAUCGAUUUCCAAUUCUUCCAAUGGAUUUUUUGAUCCUUGCUAUUUCCACCCCACCAAAAUUGUGCAAUCAUAGAGUCAAUUUCAUGACAGAUGGAAUUCGAUGGCCUGAAAUAGCUCAUAAUGUAAGUUGGAAUUGCUCGCACUACAAAUUUAAUAAGAAUUUCUCUCCCCGCUGCAGAUAGCAAUUUAUUUUUCCAAUUUGAGAUGUGUUUAACAACCCUUUCUUUGACAUAAUUGAAAAUCUAUUUUUUGGAACCUUCUGCAACUAAAGGCAUUCCCAAAUACAUACCACCCCAUUGUGCUUCAUUAAUAUCAAGCAUUUGACUUACCAUUGCUCUAUCCUCUAUUGAAGUAUUUCUACUAAAUAACAAACCAAAUUUAUCCUUGUUGAUUUUCUGACCUGAAGCAGCUUCAUAUUUUUCAAAAAUUUCCUUCAAUGCUUGUACUUCUUGCUGUUUGACCUUUCCAAAAAUCAUACUAUUGUCUGCAAACAAAAGAUGAGUAAUAUUUGUUCCAUUAUGGCAUAUCUUCAUUCCCAAAAUGCUCUUUGCCACCUUAGUCCAAUUUAGCAAGCCAGAAAGGGCUUCUGACACAAUUACGAAAAGAAAAGGAGCAAGUGGAUCACCUUGACGCAAACCUCUCGAGGGUAUAAAUCUCUGUCCUGGUACACCAUUGAUCAAUGCCGAAUAUACACCGUUGUAAUGCAUCUCCAAAUCAUAUCAAUAAAGAUUCCUUUAAAGCCCAUCUUUCGCAUUGUUUCCUUAACACAAGUCCACUCCACCCUGUCGUAAACUUUGCUCAUAUCAAGUUUAAGAGCAAAAUUGCUUAUCUUCCCCAAUCUUUUGUUAUGUAAAGCAUGGAUGAUUUCUUGGGUGACAAUGACAUUAUUUGAUAUUUGCCUGCCUUAUACCAAAGCACUCUGAUUUUCUGAAAUGACGGCUGGCAAGAUAAGUUUUAGUCUGUUUGUGAGAACUUUGCAUGCAAUGUUGUAAAAGGUAUUACGCAGACUAAUUGGACGAAAUUGGCUCACUUUCUCCGGUUAACUGACUUUUAGAAUCAAGACUAGAUGUGUAUGAUUAAUAUCUGGAUCCUGGAUCCUUCCUUCCAAAAAUUCAACAACAUAUUUAUGCACAUCAUUCUUAAGGUUUUCCCAAAAUUUUUGGAAAAAUAAUGCAGGGAGACCGUCAGGGCCUAAGGCUUUCAUGGGGUGCAUCUGAAACAAAGCUAGCCUUACCUCUUCCUUCGAAAUUUCACCAUUCAAUUGCCCAUUCAUCUCAGGCGUUACCUUAGCUUGAAUUCCUGUCCAUCUUUCUACAAUUCGCGUUGUUGGAUUCGAUGUAGUAAAUACUUGAGAGAAAAAACUACUGACCUCCUAAUAAAGCUCUUCUUGUGACUCUGUCCAUGCAUCAUCUUCCUUCUUUAUAGCCCACAUUGUGUUUUUGCUCCUUCUCUCUUUAGCUCUCUGAUGAAAGAAUUUUGUGUUCUUAUCACCAUCUCGUAAGCACUCAAUCCGGGAACGUUAUCUCCACAUCACCUCUUCAUCCCGAGUCAAGCUAUUUAGCUCUGCUUGAGUAUGUUUUAACUUUUGCAAAUUAACACCCGUCAAAUGCAUAUCUUGAAUUUUUUCUUUUUUUCUUCCUAAUCUUCACCUGCAAAUGAUUCAAAGGGUUUGGUUUUUGAGCCCGUAACUAGUUUUUAAUUCUCUCUGGUUUACCCAUAAGUCCAUAUGAUUAAUCUGCCAGAGUAGAUAAAGCAUCCGAUAUAGCUUUGUUACAUACCUCAUCAGAUAACCAUGCUUUCUUAUAAUGGAAUCGUCUUCGCUAGCGUACCUUUCGAAGAUAAAACAAAUCCAACCUUUGUGCCAGGUGGUCAGAAGCUCCCAAUUGUUCAUUAAAUAUUGAAGCUCAUGGGAAUAACUCUCUCCACUUUUUCGUACACAAAGCCCUAUUCAGUCUACAAUGAAUGAAAACUUCUGCAUCUCGGUUGUUCCACCAAGUAUACUUUGGCCCUUUGUAACCCAUAUCCCUUAAUGCGCAGUCAGAGCAUGUCUCACGGAAUUCACUCAUUUGUACUUUCUUUCUUUCUGGCCCACCUUCCUUUUCACUAGCAAAGAAUAUUUCAUUGAAGUCCCUCACACAUAACCACAGCAAUUGCGAUCGCGUCCCAAGCUGUCUGAGUAAACUCCAACUUCGAUGUCUAUCUUUUGCAUUUGGUAAACCAUAAAAUCCAGUAAAUCUCCACUUGGAACCUUUCAACAAAAUUUCUGUGUCUAUAUGGUUUCUAGAAUAAGAAGUCACAGCAAUAUCAACAUCUUUCCUCCAAACAAUUGCCAAACCUCCUGCUCUUCCAUUAGCAUCCAGUGCCAGGCACCCAUCCAUACCAAACCUAAUUCUCAAUCUCUCCAUCUCCGAACCACUCUUUUUUGUCUCCAUCAAAAAGACUAUAUUGGGAUUUUUGCUCCUAAGAUAAUCUAGAAGCAUUUGAAUUGUACGAGGAUUCCCGAAUCCUCAACGAUUCCAACAAAUUAUCCUCAUUUAUCCAAGCAGUGCUAGUCAUUUUGACCAUUUUGCACCGCUGGUUCAUUAGAAACUAUGUCAACCAAAUUCAACUUCUUCCCACAUUCCACCACUUUCUCCAAGUUCCCUUCAUCCAAUCUCUUCUUUUUCUUCUCCAACCCUAACAAUUUAAAAAAAAAAAACCUAAUUUUCUUUAAAUUAAUUUGGAGAGCGAUCAAUUUCUUUCUUUCUAUAUUUUUUUCUUUAGAUAGGGUAAUUGACAAUGUCAUUGAAUACCAAAAAUAUUCUUUCUUUAAAAAAUACAUUCAAUCUAGAAAGCGUAAUUGACAAUGUCAUUGAAUACCAAAACUAUUCUCUUUUUGUCAUCCAUCUUUUCCCUGAAAAAUAAUAGAAAGACAGAAGAAUUUUCAAAUUGUAUUCCAAAGAUGAAGAAAAAGAAACUCAUCCACAAUUCUCUAAGAAACUUGUUUGUUCAAUAAAUGGAAUCUAUCUAGAAGCUCAUUCGGAACCUAACACUCGACCUUAUUCGGCCUUUUUGGCAAAAGAUGAAGCCAGCAAAAAUUCAAGUGAGAAAAGAAAUUGCACUGCAACUUGAAUAACAAAUAGAGGAUGUAGACACCCAUUUGUGUCCGAGAACAAACAAAAAAUAUAUAAAUAAAUAAAAUACAAAAAUAAAAAUAAAAAAUGCAGAAAAACAAAAAAUUAAUUACGAGAAAAUACAAAAAAGGAAAGCAAGUAAGGGGCUUCUCUUUUGCUUUUCUGCAAUUGGCCCAAGCACAUUAUUAUGCUGGUCGUGAUGGGCAUUUUUAUCUUUCUUUUUGUAAAGAGAUAAAUGUGUAGAAAAAACAUAUGAAUAUUUGUCUUAUUAAUUGGUGCAUGAUUUUUCUCAAUUCUUAGAAAAAAAGAUCUGUAAAAGAAGAAACUGCUCCUGCUUCUCUUUUAUAUGUUUAUCAUUUAUCAACCUGCAUUUCCUUCCUUUCUAUAUUUGAUUCAGCACCAUGGUUUUCAACGGAGAUCUCCCUGUACCUAAAUACUUAUAUAUCUUAUCACAUUAAACUUUUUUAAAUUAUAAUUCUAUUUGUUUAGGUACUCCUUGCAGAGUUCUAACUCAAUUAAUUUUGCAGAAAUAUUCACUAGGGACAAAAUAGAUAGAUGAAUGGGAAUUUUUGUGUUCAUUUUUCAUCCCAUGGAACUCAACAAUAACAAAUGUUCAAGUAUACAAACACUGUGCAUUCUGGAAACAAGAGAAAAGAAAAGGGAUUACGCCAAUUGCUAAGCUGUCUGUAACUUAUUCGUAUGUCUUCAGGAAAGAUUUUAGAAAGACAUACUGCAAGUUUACUGGAAAAAAGCUCUCACCGCAAAUUUGACAGCGAAACAUGGAGAUAUGUCUGGUAGCUACCUGGGGAUGGGAACCAUAUCUGAAUCCAGGUCCAAAAGGGACAUUUCAGGUAAGUUGCUUGAUGUUGUUAUGCUGCUCUGCAUUCUUUCAGUUCUCCCGAGAGCCAUCUCUAUAGCCAUGCAUUCCUUCAGUUCAGUUAAUACAAGACUCAUGUCAGGCCUUUGGAUUGAAGCUGGUUGUGCACAUGACAUGGCUAUCUCCACCACUUUCCAGGCAGCAUUGACAUCGAAUUCACCUUGCAACCUGGGAUCAAUAAUGCUCCGAAUGUCUCCCUUUUCCACUAUUGGACUCAGCCAUUGAAGUACGUGAAUGCCGCAGUCAGGGAUCCUUAUUAUUGCAGGCUGCCCUGUGAUUAGCUCAAAUAGGAUAAUUCCAAAGCUGUAAACAUCGCUUUUCUUGUUUAGGUUCCCUGAACAUUGAAAUCUAUAUGGAAAACACAAACGGUUUCUGUCAGUAGGAGUUUUGUAUAAAUUAGAUGAAUGAAACAAGCAUAAAAGUCUUUUUAUGUUUUCUUUCAAUAUCGUUUUUGCUUAUCCAAUGAUGCUGAGAAAUUAAAUUAUUAGAGAUUAUUUGGAUGAGCCCAGUCCCAGAGCCUGUAGAGAAUGGAAGAUCAGAUGACGCAUCCAGAGCCUAACACUUGGGAUUUGAAAGUUAACAUGAUCCAAUCUGUGAGGCUAAGAUAACAUUUUGCCAACGGAAAAUGUUACUAGGUUUAGAUAGCAGUUAUGUGAGAAUUCUCAUCAAGAUUUAAGGAGCGGAUCAGUUAUAAUUAAAGAAUUAAGAAAUUAAACAAAUUCAGAUAAAUUUCAUCAAGUUUUAGAUAAUUACUCAGGAUCAAGAUAUCCGGGUGUGCCAGCAGGGCAAGUUGAUAUGUGAGACUGAUUUUCUGUUAUGAAAAUUUUAGACAACCCAAAAUCAGCUAUCUUCGCUUGCAUGCUUUCGGUCAAUAAGAUGUUCGCAGAUUUCAAAUCUCUAUGAACUACGGGCGGUUUGCAACCAUUAUGUAGAUACUCCAAACCUGCAACUCUAGAAAGUCAUUAGUUAAGAUCUGUUUUAAGGGGAGAAAAGGAAUUUACAAAUCAAAUACAUUAAAAAAAGUCAUUGUCGAACCAUAGGCAGCAUCUAUGGCAAUUUGAAGCCUUUCUUUCCAUUUGAAAACAUUUCUGUUUGUGCCUGCGUGCAAAAAACACAUCAAAAUUAUCAAAGGGAAUAGACAAUAGGCUUGCAACUUUGCAGAAAUAAGUACAUAGAUUAAACUCAACUUUUCAUUUAAAACAAACAAAUUUUAAAGAUAAUAUUGUUCAUACCUGAUAAGUGCUGUCUCAAGUUUCCAUUUGCCAUGUACUCAUAAAUCAGCGCCAUCUUGCCAUUCUCAUCACAGUAACCAAUAAGAGAUACAAGAUUUCUAUGAUGAACAAUCAUUAAAAGUUGUACCUGCAAUAUUUUAAAAUGGUGCUUCAUCAUAUCCAAACGAAUUUAUUGUCAUAAUUAUAUAUCAUAUUGAUGCUAAUUUCAACAUAGGAUAAACCUUUUGGCUGCAUUAAAAUCUGACCUCUGCUCGAAAUUCUUUAAAUCCUUGCUUUGAUGAUGGCGACAGUAAUUUGACCGCAACUGGAGUUUCAUCAUUCAGAGUACCAAGGUAAACUUUUCCAAAUCCUCCCUCGCCAACGACAGUUGUGAAGUUACCGGUGAUUUUAACAAUCUGAGAGUAAGUGAAGGGUCGAUUCUUUGAUUUAAAUGACCCUUCCUUGGAUGACUUGAUCAGAGGCUCUACAACAACAGUGAAGUUAUCAUUUGUAUUAUUCUUGUUGUAUCAGAAGAAAGUGUUUUCAGAUAAUUGUAGGGAAAUUGGAUGGCCCAGAGAUGAGCUUUAGUAAUAAAGGAUUAUACAAUUCCUAUGUGAAUAGGAAAAGUUAGUAGUCCUGGUUUAUUGGAGAAAAUUUGAAUUUACAAGUGAUCUGCACUCAUAGUCUCUAAUUGAAAUUCUCUUACAAAAUACCUACCCAAAAGCCCUCCAUAUGGUGGUGAAUAAGAAAGGUGGAUUUCUAGUCUUAAUGAGAGGUGUUAGUAACUUUUAUGGUGUGUGUUCCUACCACUCCAAUGCCAGAAAGCCUAAAACAACUAAUUGCUAACAGUGUGUCCACACUAUUUAAGCAUGGGUGUCGACGCCUGCUGGUUUAAAAAUAAAUGGCUUGAAUUCAAACCACAUACAACACUCAUGCAGUAUGUCUACAGUUAUCAGGUCCAGUAUAUGCUCUAAACUUAAGAAAUAAACAGCAUCUCGAGUAGUGACGUUAUCAUGUAGUGAUAAUCUCGACACUGAUAAACAGGGCCAGUCUUGAAAACCAGAGGAAUUAACAAACUUGACUAAUUUCGAUGCAAAAACAAAAACUAUACGUGAAAGAAAGAAAGUACCUCGUUGUCUUCUCCUUCUAAUUAUGCAAAAUACAAAUAGAAUGCUCAAGAAGAUGAGGACCAAAACAGAUACAAUCGAUGCAACAACUGGAACAACAAACUUGUUCUUUUCUUUAUCAUGACAUGAAUCCAUUUGGCAUAAAUCUGGAUUUUCGGGCAAACUGGCAUUGAACAGAAUAGACAAAUCUCAAAAUGCAUCAAUUGAAAUAUGACAAAUUAUUGCAUAUAGAAUCAAAAUUCGUUCGGAAACUUGUAACAAGAUUGCAAUCAGUAUUAAAACUAACUAUUGAUUGAAACCCUGACAUAAUGAUUAGUCCCAUAUGGUUUCUGUUAAAAUAUAGUUGACUAAUUCAUUCGAAAAAGAUUUUAUCAUAUUGUCGAAGGAAAAGCAGUGUCAAAGCAACAUGGGAGUCAUAAGAACAGGGAAAUUAAUUGAGUUACAGUAAGAUGAGUUUGAAUCGUUAUAGCGUAUAAAGUCUGUAGAAGAUUACAAACCUCAAAACCAGGGAUCCAUUAUCAGACUUGUCCUUGAGAGAUUGGGGAACUGAACCUGUGAGCUGGUUUCCAGAUAAAUUUCUACGCAGAAAGUGAUAUAUAAAUUUUUGUUUUCAUAGCUGAGUACUGCGACCUUAUGAAUGUGCAUUAUAAACAAUUAGGUAAACUUUUAUAUCGUAGCUGAAAAAUUAGAAUCCUGAAAUUAGUAUGCGUAACUUACAGGACUUUCAAAUUUGGCAGUUGCGAUAAAACUUCUGGCACUGGCCCUGUUAAUUCAUUGUUUGAUAAGUCACUGAAAACAAAAAAUUAAUCGAGUAAACAUUUUGAGUGAAAAUUCCAUAAAGUCAUAAAAGAAAGUAAUACUCUGUCUUGUCAUAGAUAGGGUUGCAUAUGCUCUAAAAACAGAAUCUGCAGCUUUGUAACUAUUGUGUAGUAGCCGCAAAAAAGAGCUGCUCAAUUGAAGGAUCAUGCUGAUACUGCUGCAAAGGGGAUAUUUGGACAAAUAUUUUCUAGGAGUCACUUCUUGUCUAUAACAACUUUAAAAGCUAGAAGGUUAAUACUCACAGGGACUCUAUUGCCUGCAGAUCAGAGAAUGACAAAGAAAUCGCCCCCAUUAAUUUACUUGCACUCAGGUUCCUGCAAGGAAUUUAGCAAUACGGAGAAAUAUAUCGCCGUGAAUAUCAUAAAUAUAUAAUGUAUUGCAUUCUAAUGCAUGACUCCCACUAAGACUUUUUAUUUGAAAAAUGUUGUUGCAAUGGAUGUGGAAUACAUCUUUGGAUGACUUGAAACUGCACUCACAGUGAUAUGAUCCUUGGAGUACCGUUGAACCUGCAGGUUAAACCACUCCAGGUAUAUACUUCGGGGAGGCACGGAUCUCCUUGCCAAUCAUCUUUGAUUAUGUUGUAUGUUUGCUUGAUGGCCAUGAUAGCAUCACCUAAAUGGUCAAAUUUCAAAAAGAAAAUGGUUGAGAAUUGAACUUAGCUAACAAGUAGCAGCCAUAUGAAAGUACCACAGAACCAACAUUUCCAAAUUUGCAGUUAGUUUUCGGAUGUAAAAUUAGUUUUUUCUUUUCCUAGGAUUAUUUGCAGGAACAUUCUCAGCUUUCCAAGCCAUUCACCUUUCCUCUGCAUUUUUAUUCUGGUAAAACUACACUGCAGCCCUCUAACUCUGAGCAUGAAAUGGCAUUCUUUAGGGGAUACAGCGGGAGUAACGGGCUAAAAAGGAAAUAACUAAACAUCCGCAAAUCUUGGUCAUGCCACACACGACACAACACAACAACCAUAUCACUAUAUAUGAAACAAUGUGACUCAAUCCGUUUCGGACAUCACAGGCUCAUAAAAGAACAUGUGACCCUAACUCCAUAUGCUUGAAGUGGGUCCCUAGUCAAUCCAUUCAAUGAUAGCUAUUUAUUAUUGCGAUGAACCUAGACCAUGGUAAAAUACAUUUUUCCACCUUCCACAAUAACAGCUAAUUGCUUCGACGGUAGAUAUAGAAAAAGCGCUUGAAUGAGGUUCUUCUUUUGUUUAUCCCACGUGGUGAUUGGCUGAUUGCUUCUUAAUUCCUGUUUCUUACCUAACCCCAGAAAUUUGACUGAUGACCAAGGAAUUUCAAAAGUAUCCAACCAAAGACUAAAAAGGAAUUGAUUUAGAAAAUGAAAUGAACAAAAUGAAAAAGCACCGUCUGUUGUGGCAGUUGGUGAAAAUGGAAGUGGAAGAACUCUGUAAAACUCCAUGGCGUUGAGUAUUGGGGGAAGGUCGGAUUCCUCUGUUGCAUCAAUAGUAAAGUUAAUUACUCCUUGAACCGGUAAAUUCUGGGAGCUUACCGAUAACGGCUUUAAAUACUCAAGAGUAAUCGGUUUACUCUUGACACCAUUCAAAGUGAUGGUGAAUUUUCUAAGUUGAUCUUGCCGCGCAGUCUCUACAACCUCAGCGAAGUAAAAGCAGACAAGAUAUUGACUAGAGGGGAAAAGAGAUGAGUGGUAAGUAUAAUUCAGGGAUCUGGAGCCAUUGACUGGCCGGAUAGCAGUUCUCAAGACCUCAGCCGGUACUUUGUAUAAAUCAUUACCCUGGUUGGCGAUAUUCAAUGAGGGAGAAAUCGGAACAGAACUCGGAAACUGGAGAGGUAGCCAGAUGCGGUCAUAACCAUCAUCCUUGUACCUAUUGAGAGACACAUUUGGAUGAAUAGAAAUAAAUUAAUGUAUAAGAGAAAAAAUUAAACCACAUGGAUCAUUAACAGAAAUAUAUGCAACCUCUACCACGAACAAUUAUAUAACAUUAAUUAAUUAUAAUUGUUCAAAAUGUAAAAUAAGAAUAAAAAUAUAAUACCCACGAAUUAAUUAAUAGCGAAAUCAGAGGAAUACAUAAAUUAAGCACCAAAUAUAUUAUUCAACAACGACAUUACAAUUUACAACGACAAGUGAUAACAUAACAGUAGUCUUACCUGAAAGAGUUAUUACUAGAGAUGCCCAGGUCAACAGUCUUGACGUUUCCUAGUGCUACGGAGUUGGUUGUAUUAAAAGCUGAAUCAUUUGAAAGCCGUAAUUCCAAUGCCGAAAUGAAAGGAACUCCAAAGCCGGUGUUUACAAGACAUACAUAUCCAGUAUCAGCUGUGAAGAAGUGAAUAAUUUCGAGGAAGAGCAUGUACCACACGGAUGGCAAUCUCACGGUGUCCCAGUAAUUAACUCCCACAUAUAGCUCAAAUUCUGGUAUUUUAUUCUUGUUAUCAUAAUUUCCAUAUAAAAAGGAAGCCCUAAUACGGUAGCUGUUAUUUCUGCCUUGUUCAGGUUUCAGAGUGUAACAGUUCUUUUUUCCAUUAGGAAAACUUCUCAAGUUCCUGUACUCCCUCCAAUGCACAGGGUAAUAAUUGGUACCGCUGGCACUAGGUGAUAUGUCAUGGUUUUCACCAGUUCCAAUAAAAUCUUUAUCGGACUUGUAGAAUAUACCAGUUUCAUCGUUAAGGUAGUCUUCCUCUACUCCGCAAUCGAUGCUUAUGAAACCUUAUCAUCAUUUAGAGCACAUAACCAAUUACUGUCUGGAGUUACCAAAUUAAUCUUCGUGCGUUGAUGUUCAUAUUAAUAUCCACAAAUAUAAAAAGACUGUUCUACAUUUAUUAUAAUGAUGAAUAGUAGUAUACUAUCUUGUAGAUUUUUUUUUUUACAAUAUUUAUAUAAAGUUGCUGGUAUAUUUUAACAAGUCAGAUUUUCAAUAAAGUUGAUGAUUUUAUAUGCAUCUCUUAUUAGUUUCAUUUUGUCAAGUCAAACCCUUCUCUUAUUUUAUUAAAAGAAUGGAGGAAAAAUUACAUAAAUUUUAUUCACAGUGUACGCAAAAUUAAGUUAUGCCAUUUAAUAAACCACCCAGCUAAAUCUAUCAAAUUAAAAAGCUUUUUGCCAAAUAAUAUUUCUCAUUUUAAAAUAUAUAGUUAAAAUAUUGUGGGAAGAUGAAGUUUGGUACUUUGGAUAGUUGGAGUUGAAUAUUUAUAAAUAUUAUAGUGAAAAUAAUUGUAAAUGAUAUGAAUAUAAUAAGAUAUCAAAAAUAAAAUUUGUUGCAAUGAGAAAUUAUUUUAAAAAUUAUUUAGUCAAUUUUAAUGUCAUACCUUUUGAAAGGAAAUAAAAUUAACUACCACCUCAUUAAUAUUCAUGGUUUUUGAUUUUUCUUUUUUACAAAAACGGAUGCUUAUAAUAGGAACUCAAAAUUGAAUUGUUACAUCGAACGAGAAAAUGAAAUUAACAAAAAAGGGUUCUGAAAAAAAAAAUCUUUCUUAGGUAUCAGAGUAAAUUAAACAAAUUAGGUGUUUAAAAUUAUGAUUUGAAAAUAGUGUAAAGUUAAUGUGAGUACUGAGUCAACAAUACCAAUUAUGACUUUUCCAAAAAAAAAAAAAACUAAUAUCAUUUAUGGAUCAAACUGAUCAUGACUUAUAUUCAAAUCAAUCCUCCUAAAAAGAAAGUUAUAAAUCGAAAUCCACAUUCCCAAUAAUAUUCAACAAUAACAAGAAGCGAAGCUAAGGAACUUGGUGGCUAGCUCUACUCCAAAAUAUUUUGUUAAAGAAACUAGCGUCCGGUUCCUCCUAUACAUAUGCUAAUUAAUGUACUGUGCCGCUAGAACAUUGCUCAAUGUCGCAUUAGAGUUGGAUUAAUUUUAGAAACAUCCCUAGGAAAAUAAGAAUAAGCUGGUUGACAGCAAAUUAAAUUAAGUUGAAGAGAAGAUUUAUGCAUGCACUUACCCGGAUUAUUUUGAGUGGCCAACUUUCUUCUUCCGACGUCUUGUUUGGUGGCCUCAGUUAGUGUGGGAGUAUCCCAAGAAGACGUAAUCCCGAAAACGAAAAUGAAGAGUGGCAGUAGAUUAUGGAGCACGAUAAACAAUUUGUGUCUACCCACCAUGCUGCUCUAAUUUCCUUAGGAAUUAUGGAUACAGAUGCUUUGAUUGAGAUGCUCAAUUGCCAAUUUAUAUAUAGUUACUACUAAAGAUUAUUUGCACUUAAGACCACGACUUGUAGGGCUUUUGGCGUAAGGAGAACGCCCAAGACUUUUCUGUUGGGUUAUGGUUUUCCGGUGAAAUCAUAAAUAACCGCGUUGUCAUGGCCUACUUUUUUGUCUACUCCUCUUUUGCUUCAUUAUUUGCCUUCAAUUUCUUAGAUGUUCUAACCCUUCUUCUGGGUCUACGUGUUUGAACUAAUCUUAAAAGAAAGCUACAGAGGCUAUGCUUCAUUCUUUCCAGAUAAAUGCAUCAGGUUAGAAGUAAACUCUAGUCGACUACUCUCCACCAAUAAGAAACUUCAACUUAAAUUUGGGUUGAAAAGUCAAUCAAACGAAGCAUCAAUGAAUUUUGAUAAUUUUCGUCGUCUCUGCCAUGUGACAGACGACAGUCCUUUCUAAAAAAUGCCUUGCUGUAGAGAUGGGGUUCCUUCUGGGGUUGUCCCGAAUCACUCGCCGUUGAAUUACAGAAAAGUCUCAACGUUUCAUGUACUCCAUAUAUUUCGUCAAUACAAGUCUUCUCUGUAUCAAGUCGUCGCAUAUAUGUAUAUUAAUUUGUAGUGCUUUAUCUUCUUACGACCAGAAAAGGGAGGGUCAACAAUAUCUUGUCGUGUUGAUUCGAUGUCACUAGUUGGCUUGGUUUUGAUUUUUGCAAGCAUGUGAUCUUAGUUUAAGUCUGGGUUAUUUUGAUACUUUAGUCUGAGGUGAUUUAACUCAUUACGCUAUUGUUUUAUUAGCAUAGGAAUUAUGAUAUGCAUAAAUUUUGAGUCUGAUUGUUUAAGCCGAAUGUUUUUUUGUAUAGGGGCUUGUUUUCUUGUCUAGUGCUGCCAAUAACUUUGUGAACACUCAUCUAUCUUUUUUAACUGUAUAGGGCUACAUCUUCACCAAAGCUAGUCAUCUUAUGCUAAGAAGAGUCUUUUUAUCACUUUGGUUUAAGACUUAUGGUAUUCUAAUUUUUGGUUUAAUAAACAAAAUCACUUUUAAUAUAUAUAUAUAUAUAUCUUUAGAGAAAGAGAAAGAGAGAGUAACUUAAUAUAAAUAAAUCAUUAUCUAAACGUUAAUAGUAUUUUUUAUGUCCCAUUCUAUUCGUUCAUGCACCAUUGUUAGUUUAAAAUCAAGAUAUUUGACUGCGUUUGUAUAAUUUUAAGGGAUCAAUUGAUAACUUGGGACGUGUAGAUGUAAUUAAAUAUUAUGUUUGUCCAUUUUCCGUUGCUAGAACUUCUCACCAAUACAUAAUUAUUAACUAAAAAAACAAACAAGUAAUGAUAAAAAGAAAAUAUUCAAAAAUUCUCUGUCGUUUUAAGGGGCCAUCUCUAUAGCCAAACAUUCCUUAAGUUCUGCUAGCACGUGACUAGUGUUUGGCCUUUUGCUUGCAGUUGGCUGUGUACAUGCCAUGGCUAAUGAUCUCCAGACAGCAUUGAUCUUAAAUUUGCCUUUCAACUUAGGAUUAACGAUGCUCCGAAUGUUAGAAAUAUUUGAAAAGAAAGAAGAAAUUUUGAGUAGAAAGAAGAGGAUGAGUGUGAAUUAACAUUUUUUAAGGUAUUUUUUCAAUCUAUAAGAUAUAAUAAAAUUCUUAACACACUUAUUAAAAUAAUAAAAAUGACAGUAUAAUAACGUUAUUUAUAUAAUAAGCUAACAUAUACAUCUUUCAAUGAAAAUACUUAUUUCCUUUCAUAAUAUAAUUCUUUAAACAAUAGUUUCCUUUCACAAUCUAUCUACUUAAAAGUUAUAUUUAAUAAGGUAACUUUUUCCUAACUCUUCAGUUAUUACUUUUCAUCAAUAAGCACUUUUCAUAAAUAACGUUUUAUUAUUUAAUCCAAAAAUUAGAAUAAUAAAAUUAAUUGCUUAUUAAUGUUUUAGUUUUAGAGUCCAAAAACCAACAUUAACACACUAUCUAACAAUCCCCCACCUGUUUGAAAUGUUGGUUUUUUUCUAUAUAAUAUAUUUAUUUACUUAUUUCUACCUUUCACACAAACGAAUAUUACGUAUACAAAAAGGUAUCUCUCAAUUUUAACCAUCAAUUGGCGAAUGUAUCUUAGAACCUUAACAAAGUAGAUAGUGUUCUCAAAUUGAACCUCAACUUCUAGUAUUAGAAUUGAAGAUACAUCACAUGUAAUAUUCAUUUAUAUUUCUAUAAAUGGUGGUUCACUUUUAGCACCAUAAUGGCUAUGUGCUUAUCCUGUUUCAUAAUAGACAUUUACCUUCAAAUUCUUCUUGUUAAAGCGGCACUACUCCUUAUGUUUAUGUAAGUGAAGCUUUUAUUAAUAUCCCCAUUACUUUAGACAUUUUCUUUUCAUAAUAUAAUAUUCAAACUCCAUUAAGAGUAUAAACUCAUUCUUUAUACGCAAUGGACUACACUAUUUUUAAAUAAGAUUUUGAGGAAUGGGUUCCAAUAGUGCAUCACAAACGCAUAAUAAUAAAUUGUUUUUACCCAUUGAACUUUGUAAUUAGAGGUCACUAAUAAAAAGUUGGGUUUUCACCAUUGGUGUUGAGUAGGGGUCUUAAACCCAUUCCUUUUGUAGUACUAUUUACCAAAUUGCUUGGUAAACCUUUUGUCUGAGGAUAUGCCAAAUUACUUACAGAUUUAACAUAUGUUAUGGUAAUUACCCCACUAAAGAUUAAUUCUCUAAUAUAAUCAUGUCUUGAACUUAAAUGUCUAGAUUUUUCAUUAUAGACAUCACUAUACGCUUUAGACAUUAUAGCAGUUUAUCACAAUAUAAAGAAAUGGUUGGUAUCGGCUGUGGCCACAACUCUAUAUCUAAUAACAAAUUUUUCAAUAAUUUCGCUUAUUUUCCUGUUGUAGUUAAAGCUAUAAACUCAGAUUCUAUUAUUGAAUGUGAGAUGCAAGUUUGUUUCUUAAAUGCCCAACAAUUGCACCACCUCCUAGUGUAAAAAUCCAACAUGAAGUGGACUUAUUAUCAUUUACACUAGUAAUCUAAUUUACAUCAGAGUAUCCUUCUAAUACUCUUGGAUAAUUUGAAUAAUGUAAGCCAAAAUUUUUAGUUCUUUUAAGAUAUCCAAGAAUUCUUCCAAUGGCUUUCCAAUGAAUUAUACUAGGCCUACUUGUAUAUCUUGAUAAUUUGCAAACUACAACUGCAAUAUCUGGCCUAGUGUAAUGCAUAGCAUACAUAAUGCUUCCAACAACACUAGAAUAUUCAAGUUAUGCAAUUACUUGGUCACCAUUCUCAUUCAUCUUUAUACUUGAGUCAUAUGAAAUACUAAAUUCUUUUAUAUUGAGAUAUUUAAAUUUAUUGAUCAAUUUCUCAAUAUGGUGACUUUGAUUAAUAACAUAACCAUUAUUAUGUUUCUUAACUUUAAUACCAAAAAUGGUAUCAACCUCUUUCAAAUCCUUCAUUUUAAAUACAUAGAUUAAAUAUUUCUUUGUUUCAUUUAUGCCGAUCAUGUUAUUGCUAAAUAUUAGCAUAUCGUCAACAUAAAGGCAUAUUAUUAAUCCAUAAUCUUUGGUAAAUUUUGAGUAAACACACUUGUCAGCCCCAUUAUGUUUAUAAUCAUAAGACAAUAUGGAUGGGUCAAAAUUCUCAUGCCAUUGUUUAGGAGCUUGUUUUACCCCACAAAGUGAUUUAACCAAUUUACAAACUUCUCUCUCAUUUCCAGGAAGUUUAAAACCUUUUAGUUAUUCCAUAUAUACUUUCCUCCUUUAAAUCACCAUUUAGAAAGGCUACUUUAACAUCCAUUUGAUGUACAUGGAACUUAUAGAUUGAAGCUAGUGCUAUAAGGGUUCUAAUGGAUGUUAUUCUAGCCAUUGGAGCAUAUGUAUCAAAAUAGUCUAUGCCUUCCUUUUGUUUGAAAUCUUUAGCAACUAAUCUUGCCUUAAAGGUUUGUACAAAACCAUCGGUAUUAUAUUUUCUUCUAAACACCCAUUUACAUUCAAUUGAUUUAGAAUAUGAAGGUAAAUCAACUAAGAUCCAUGUAUUAUUAGACAUUAUUUAGUCCAUUUCGUCAUUUACGGCUUUUUUUUCAAAAAGUUGCAUUUCUUGAAGACAUUGUUUCAUUAAAAGUUUUGGGGUUUUCAUCUACACUUAGUAGAAUUGGUGUUUUAUUUAGUAUAUUGGUUUCAUCUCCUUCAACUAGAAAAACAAUUAAAUUUGAAGAAACAUAAUCAGAGCCUAAAUGUUUAUCUUUUCUCAAUCUUUGACUCCUUUUUAGCUCAAUAGAUUCAUUAAUUUCUUUUCUUUUUUCACCAACUAUUGGAGCUAUUUUAAAUUGCUUUUCCUUUUCAAAAUUAACAGAAUUGUAAAUAAAUAUAUUUUCAAAGAAAUUAACAUUAAUAGAUUCAACUAUAACAUUAGAAUUUAAAUCAAGUAAUAUAUAUGCUUUUGAAUUUUGUGCAUAACCAACAAAAUUACUUUUGAUGCCUCUAGGUUCUAAUUUUGUCUUAUGAGGAUCCUUGACUUUAUAAUAAGCAACACAUCUCCACACUUUAAUUCAAGUCUGGUUUUCUAUCAUUAUUCCAUAAUUCAUAUGAUGUUAUAAGUACUUUUUUUAAAAGAACUCUAUUACUUAUAUGAGAAGCUAUCAAAAGUGUUUCUUUCCAAAGAUUAAAAGAAGCCCUUGCAUUUAACAAUAUACAAUUUACCAUAUUUACUAAUGCUCUAUUUCUUCAUUCGGCUAAUCAAUUAUGUUGGGGUGCAUAAGGAGUUGUUCUUUGAUGAAUUAUUCCAUUCUCUAUACAAAAUAGAGAAAACGAAUACAUAAAAUAUUCUCUUUCUCUAUCACUUUGAAGAAUUUUAAUCUUUUUUUUUUAUUUUCAACAACAGUUUUAAAUUCUUUGAAUUUGUCAAAUGCUUAAUCUUUUGUUUUCAUUAAAUAAACAUGAGUGAAGCGAGAAUAAUCAUCAAUGAAGGUUAUAAAAUACAUUUCUCUCUCCUUAUUAGUAAACCAUUUAGUUCACAAAUAUCAGAAUGUACAAGUUUUAAUAAUUCUGAUUUUCUUUCAACUUUUGGAAAAGGUUUCUUAGUCAUUUUUGCCUCAACACAAAUUUCACAUUUUUCAAAACUAUCUUUUUGACAUGGAAUGUAAACAUGCUUUGACAUAAAAUUUAAAGAUUGAAAAUUUAAAUGACCUAGUCUAGCAUGCCAUAAAUCAAAAGAACACUCAACAAUAUAAGCAAAAGAAUUAUUCAUUUCAUUGAUACUGAGUUUGAACAUUCCGUCACAGGAAUAUCCUUUUCCAACAAAUACAACAUUUUUCGAUGCUAUAAUCUUAUUGGAUUCUAAUACAAUCUUAAAACCAUUCUAACACAAUAGAUAUACAGAUACAAGAUUUUUUCUAAUUUCAAGAACAUGAAAUGCGUUAAAUAAAGUUAAUUUUAGCCGUAAGGCAAAGUUUAACUCAAGCAUUCCUUUGUCAAGUACCUUAGUAUGAUUAUGGUUCCCCAUUAGAAUUUCUUCUUGUCUCUUAAGUUCUUCAUAACUCUUGAACUGCCUUUUGUCAUUGCAAACAUGAAUAGUAGGAUCGGAAUCUAGUCACCAUUUUGAACGUUUUGUUACAAUAACCAUGUAUGUACUUUGGUAACCAUUCUAAUAUGCAUUUCAAUUACCAUCGCAACAAAUUCUUUGCAAUCACGUUCAACAAGGUUUACCUUGUUUCCAAAACCAGAAUUAGCAGUCUUGUUUUCAAGAUUUUUAAAAUUUUUGAACUUGCACUCCUUGAUAAAAUGUCUUUUUUUCCACAAUGAUAACACAUUUUAUCACUAUUAAAUUUCUUGAAGUAAUUUUUCUAGACUCUUUUUCAUUUCAUUUUUCCAAAACUCUUUUCUUUUUCACUAAUGAGAUUUACAUUUGUUACAAGAAUGAGUGCAUUUUUAGCACAAUUUUCUACCUCAAUAUUCAAACGAGCUUGAAUCUCUUCAAUAGUAAAACUUUUUGGAAAAUGCAAAAUUUCUUCCUAUAUCCAUUCCAAGAAGGUAGAAGGCUAGACAAAAUUGCUCCCACUUGAAGUGAGUUAGGAAUUUUUAUUUUCAGUUCACCUAAUUUAGAAGUUAGAAUUUGUAACUCAUAUACUUGAUUCAUAAUUGGUUUGGUAUCCAUCAUGGUAAACUCGAAUUAUGUCAAUGCAACAAAUUUAUCUGUACCUUUUUUUCUCCUUAUUGUAUGUUUCCUUAAGUGUGGUUCAGAUUUCCUUUGUUGAAGUCUUAUUUUUAUUUUUUUUAAUGCUGAAAAUUCACGCAGGGCCCAACUAUCUUGUUAAAUUUUAUUAAUUACGAAAUAAAAAAAGUACAAAGGAGGGGGGCCUAACCAUAGCUCCAAAUUACAUUAUCAUAAGAAAGUUUCAGAGAAGCACCUAGAGUAAGGAAAACCAUUUUACGUGCAUAACUUUUGAUGCUACAGUAAAACAGAUAUUACUUACUAUUACAUUGAGACAAUUAACUAAAAUAAAAUUUAAAGCAGGAAAUGAAAAUAAGAAAAGCACCUAGAUGGAGUGUUUCAUUUUAUGACCAUAUUUUUUACUAUCGUCAUAAAAUUGAAACACUUCCAUAUUACAAAAAUCUAUGUGAAUAACAAAAGAAGAAAAAUAAAUUAGGAGUACUACUCAUUUACAUUCAUUUGAAGCAAACAUAAGGUAAACUAACUUUAUCUAAUCUAAGAAUACCUUUAAGUUGACCUUCUGCUUGUGAAAAUACCUGCAAGUUCUGGUGCGUAUGCCAUUGAUUUGAGAGAUGGUCUGCUGCCUGGUUUCCUUCUCUAUGGAUGUGCGAAAUCCGAAAAGAGAUAUCACUUAAGGAUCUGCGAAUGGAAGCAAGCAAAUACCGAGUCUUAGAGAAUUUGUUGAAGUCUUAUGUAUGAAAAUAUCAUACAAUCGAUCAAUGAGAGAAUUUUUUUUUUUUAAUUGUGGGAAGGGAGAUUCGAACCUUGCUCUUUAGGUAGGAGAAUUUUGCACCAACUAAUGAGCCAAAUGCUUGGGUGCAUUGAUCAGUGAGAGAAUUGAGAAUGUAUCCACAACAUAUAAACUCGUCAUGUUUUCAUUUUUCCAUGUUAACAUUGGUAGUGGUUGCGAUAGCAGUUGUUGUUGCAGUAGUGUUUUUAGAAAAUGUUGCUUCUGCUAAUAUGAUCUUUUUUGGAUUUGAUGGUUAGUCUAUCUCAAUAACAUAAUAAAUCUUCAAUGUGGUUAAUAGGAAUACUAUCUUGUUCCUCCAUCUAGUGAAAUUCGUUCCAUCAAAUCUGUCAAAUUUGAUCACUUCCUGAUUUUGGAAGUGAACCUUCACACUUGAAUCUAGCUCAAUCUCCAUCACGAAACAAUUGUGAAAAUGGUUAAAGAAAUACCUUAAGAUUGUUAGAAAUAUUUGAUAAGAAAGAAGAAAUUUAGAGAAGAAAAAAAGUUAUGACUUUGAGGGCGUGAAAACGCUUUCUUUAAGGUAUUUUCUCAACCUCUAGGAUAUAAUAAAAUCCUUAACACACUUAUCAGAACAGUGAAAAUGGUAGUAUAAUAACACUAUUUAUAUCAUAAGCGAAUAUAUACGUCUUUCAAUGAAAAAACUUGUUCCAUUUCAUAAUACAACUCUUCAAAUAGUAGUUUCAUUUCAAAAUCUAACUACUUGAAAGUUAUAUUUAACAAGGUAACUUUUUCCUAACUCUUUAGUCAUGACUUUUCAUCAAUAAGCACUUUCAUAAAUAACUUUUUAUUAUUUAAUCUGAAAAUUAGAAUAACUAAAUUAAUUACUUAUUAAUGUUGUAGUUCAAUAUGGAUGCCCUUCCUUUCGAUUGUAAGAGUCACUUUUUCAAGUAUAUAUGUGAAUGUUGUAAUAUUCAGGCCUUGCUCGUUGGCUAGUGAUUAAGUCAAUCAGAAUUUUCCCAUAACAUUAAACAUCACCUUUUUUAUUAAGGUUUCCCGAUUUAUGAUGAAAUCUAUAGGGAAAACACAAAUGACUUUUGAGUUUUGUUAGUGAGAUAUUUACUACAAAAAUAGAAAAACUAGAACUGUAAAAUGAUGGCCCAAGCGAAAAAAUAUUUACACUAAUUAUAUAUAUGUGGUUAAUGUGGGAAAAAAUGAUAAUGUCAUGCGUGUUCUAAUGUGUUAAAUGCAAUAUGUGAUUACAAGAACAAUCACAAAAGGUUUUUUUUUCUUUUUUUUGUAUAUAUAUAAGGAAAAAAAUAUGACAGAGCUCUUUGAUUUUCUCAAUUCUUCAACAAUUAUUUAUAUAUUUUUUUUAAAGGCAAUAGUUAUGAUUGUAUUAAAAAAAAGGCCAAAUGAUGACCAGGUGGUCUCCAAGGGUGUUGUACAAAGCAUCCAAGUGAUGCUAGGAAGAAAGAAAAAUAAACAAAAGAUAUUUGCCUAUUAGAGAACAAAAAAACAGGGGGUUAAUGGACCAUAGCUAAAACAAAUAAUAAUAAAAAAAGAUAUUUAUGCAGAAGUCAAAACUAGCUGAUAACCAUGAAAAAAUUUGGCUGGCGGAAGGCAUCGGAUUUUGCCAAGUUGUCAGCCAUUUCGUUGGCACUUCUAAGUAUGUGCAUGAUGCGUCAGUUAGUGAUGUUGUGCUGCAGUGAGGCGAUCCGAAACAAGAUUGGUCUCAUUCUCCAUCUCCAUGGCACUAAGUGGGGGUUUGUGAUCUUUUUGACAACGUUGGAUGAGUCACAUUCAAUGCUUAAAGCAUGGGAAAAUGACCAUUUAGAGGCUGUAAGAAACUCAGCAAGGUUGGAGUCAAUAACACUAACUGAUUUUGAGAAUAGCAUUUUAAUCAAGCCUUCGCUGUCCCAGAGUAUUUCAUCGAUCCCAACAUCUCUAAGGCAUCCACUUAUAGCCCUAUCAAUCUUGUAUUUGAGGUGGUUAGGAAGGGGACAAGUACAAAGAACAGCAACAGGAGGUUGUUUCGAUGUUGAAGCAAUGGAAGACAAACUUGGUGAGCGGAAGAUAUUCAAGUGAAAGGAGGUGAGGAUGUCCCAUUUUGCUUUAGCCCACCAGGUUAUUCUCAUAUGGGCUAUAUCAAAGACUUGGUUUCCGUCCCAUUGCUUGUCGUUAAAGACGAGAUCAUUGUGGAAGAGCCAAAUAGUCUAAAUGAUUGCGAAGAAGUUGAGCCUCCAUAAUGGCAUUUUGCGAAGGGGAAUGAGGGAGUUAUUCCAAGCUUGGAAACAGACAGAAGGGUCUUAAUGGCCGACCUAGUUAAAAUUCCACAAAUUACACCACUUUGCCUAUAUUAAUCAAGUUUCUUGGCAUGUAAAGAGGAGAUUACUAACUGUUUCAAGGUGAGAAUGGCAUAAAUAAAAGGCAGCUAACAGAAGUAGUAAAGAUCAUACCCUUCUUUUAAAGUUCGGCUUUCACUAUAAUUUUACCCUUGGGAACCUGCUAGUAGAAGGUUUUCACUUUAUGUGGAGUACCAGACCAGUUUCCAAAUGUCUGAAGUAGUUCCCUAAUUGUCAGUGACGAUAUUACAGAAAGAGAUGGAAGAGUAUUUAUUGCUAGGGGUGCUUUUCCAAACAAGUUUAUCAUUGAAAUUCUCACCAAGCGCACUACUGUUAAUGAUUGAGAGAAAGUCCUGCCAUUGGUCAACCUCCCAUCCCAUAAGUGUUAGGCAGAGUUGGAUGUUCCGUUGCCAAAUAUGAUCAAACUAGUUUCCAAACUCUUGAACCACCCCUGUUUUGUUAGUAGAGAGGGCAUAAAUCCUUGGAAAUAAGUUUUUGAGGGACACAUUGUGAAUCCAUCUGUCGUUCUAAAACUCUACACAAUUGUCAUUACCAAUGUUGAUUUUGAAGCUGGAAUUAAUUGUCGCAUGGAACAUGCUGGAUGAAUUGAACGAGCUGACAAUGUUUUUCUAGAUUGUAAAGCACUUACUAGGUAGCUCUUAAAAGGGAAGAAGCUUUAACAAGCUACCUUUGGUCUUAGCAUUAAUAAAGGACCUCCAAAAGCUGUCCGGUUCAUUGUCGUAGCACCAAACUCAUUUGUUAAGUAAUGCUUGAUCAAGAAGUUGAAAAUUGAAAAUCUCGAGACCACUUAAGGAUUUUAGGAUUUUAGAAGGCACACCGAAUCUUAAUUGACAAGGUGGAUCUUUCACGAGCAAGAUGUAUCGUUCCAAAGGAAUCUUAUUUGCAAUUUUUCCAAAUUUUCUUCAACACCUACAAGGAUUUGAAACAUAGACAUGGAAUAGAUUGGUAAACUAGUGAGAACCGAUUUAAGAAAGGUGAUUCAACCUCUAAUUAAGAGAUUUCUAGCUUUCUAACUUGUAAGGUGGCUUCUAGUUUGUCAAUCACCGACUGCCAUGCUCUAAGAGGACUUUGUUUUGCAUUUAGUGGUAGGUCAAGAUAAGAAGAUGGUAAUGUGUUAGUUUUGUAGCAGAUAAUAUUUGCCCAUUCAGCGAGGGUGCUUUGAUCGAUUCUAAUGCCAUAUAAGAAACUUUUAUGGAAGUUGAUGCGCAAGUCAGAGAUAAUGUAAAAGCACCAGAAGAUUGUUUUGACAUUGACCAAGUUAUCCGGAUCUAGUUAGAGGGUAAACGUAGUGCCAUUAGUGUAUUGGAGAUGAGAAAUUUUCAACUUGCUAUUGCUCACUUUGAAUCCUUUGAUAAGCCUCAUGUCGGAAGCUUUGCUAACAAGAAUGCUUAAGGCUUCCACAACCAAGUUAAGAAGAAAUAGCGAAAAUGAGUAGCCCUUCCUUAAGCCAUGUUUCAUAUUAAAUUGUCACGUCGGAGCUUUGUUAACAAAGACCAAAAUAUUUGUAGAAGAAAUGCAAGCUUGGACCUAAGACCUCCAUUUAUUGCCAAAGCCCAUUUUAACUCUGAAAUCCCACCUUAAUGUAAAUGCUAAGUUAAGAAAAUCUUUAGAUGAACAUGUUGAUUGUAUGUUUGGAACAUUCAAAACUAUGUUUUAAUCAUGGAAAAUUCUUGUUUUGAUGCAUUAAGAUGAUUUGAUAAGUUUGAUGUAAAAGGAAUCCUAUUGGACAUGUUUCUAAAGUUUAUUUUUGUUUACUAGAGCCUAUCUAUCUAAGAUGUUCUUCAUCUAUCAAUAGAUAUAAUCUAGAAAGGUUUACUAAAAGCUGCCUUGAAAAACAUAUAUGGAUAGAUAACCAGAUCUAUCCAUAGAUAGCCAGAUCUAUCCAUAGAUAGCCAGAUCUAUUGAUAGAUGACCCCCAUUUAUCAAUAGAUAGCAACUAAAAAGCUUUUAAAAGGACCUUGAAACCUAUCUAUCGAUAGAUAAUGUCGUUUUCACAAAAAUAGAACGGGUAAAAAUGUAUUUUCACACCCCAUACUACAAAUAUGUCACAUUUUUCAAGGGUUGGCAACCCUCAGCUGCAUUUUGCAAGGUAAAACUCAAUCUAAAACCCUUUCAACUCAUUUUGAGCCAAAAUCUUCGUUUUUUAUGAUUCUAAGCUUGUUUAUGGGUUUUUUUUAUAUAAUAUUUCUAUGCUUUAUAAUCUUUAAAGCUUAGAUUUCUAGAACUGAAAUAUUUGUUUUCAUUCCCAGAAAUUCUGUUUAGUGAUAAAGCUUAAGGACUUGGGGUUUUUCUAAUCAUUUAAGCUCAUAUAAGGUAAAAGUACUGGAUUUAUAGGUUUUUAGCAUGGGUUUUAAGUUAAAUCUAGUUUUAGUCAAAAGUGAUUAAGAUUUGAAAGUGCAUAGAAUGAAUAUUAUGAGAUUUUUAUUCUAGGAAAUGAUUGUGAUGAUUGUUGUAUGAUAAGAACACUUGAAAACUCCAUAAAAUCUCGUUGAAACAGAGUCGUUAUUGGAGCUAGGAAUCAAAUCUCUAAUCAGGUGAUUGGAUACACCUUUUCAUGUAUUUUAAUAUGUAAAGCUAGCAUGAUUUUUGUCGAAAUGAUUAUUUAUGCAUGAUGAAAUAUUGUUUCCAUUGAUGGUUUAUAAAGAAUUUAGUGUUCAAGGUUUUCCAAUGGUUUUCAAUGAGUAUGAAAUGGAUUUGAAAUGAUUUAUGAUGUGAGAAGACAAUGAUUUUCAAAUUAUUUAUGAAUCUACUACAUAUGUAAUAUGUUACUAUGUAUUAGUUUUCAACAAGGGGGAUAAGCCCUUUUUAUGUUUGAAUUCCAUUCGAUUAUUCCUACUUUUCGACUAGUGUGGGUACAAGACAUUAUCCAUGUUAAUGUCUGAAUGUUAUGAUGCACAUGCUUGACAUGAUGUAGCAUGUAAGAUAAUGUUGGAUGCAUGAGUCUUCAUCCAUGAUCCUAUGUAUGAACAUGAUGAUGCUAUGAUUGUGGAUGUAUGAAUUUCCACUUAUGAGAUAAUGAAAAAUAUGACAUAUAUGCGUAUGAUGUCUAUAUGUUGGAGGAUGUAUGAUGUCCCUUCAAAGUUAAGAAAUGAGAUAUAAGACAUGAGUUGUAUGUGUUAAGGAAGAAUUCAUGUACCCUAUGGGUUAAGUAUGAAAAUGUGUACAUGUAUGAGAAUGAUUUAUGAAAAUGUACAUGUUUAUGAUGUAAGCUAAGGAUGAGAAUGAUCAUAAGCUUAAAAGAUCUAUGAUGAUUGUGGAUGAGGCUGAUGUGCCAUUCAUAUAGCUGUGAUGGAUGUUCACGCGAGGUGGACUAGAUAGAGUGAGGACCUAGUCCACUACUUGUUUAAGUGGGGUGGGACCAUUCAUUAGUUCGUGGGUAAGGCCAAUGUGCCAUCCAUGAUAAUACGCUAGAACCCAAGAUAGUGAGGGUUUGUACCACUAUUCGUCAGAAUGGGGUGGACUCACUCACAAUUAAAGAUGUCAAGAUAAAUGGGAUUAAUGAGUCUAAGCUAUGAUUGAAUGAGUAUGAAAAUGAUCUGUUUACGAUGAAUGUUUAUGUUAUGAUGUAACAUCUGAUGAUGAUGUAAUUCACACUAGAUUGUGGUGAUUUUUGGCUUGGUUAGAUAGAACUUCAACUUAGGGAAUGAUCCCUUAAGAUAAAAGAACAUAUGGAAUGGUAAAGUGUAGGAUUUUACCUAAAAAACAGAGUUUUAAAAGCUAUCUAUCGAUACUUGGAGAACAUCUAUCAAUAGAUAGAAAACAGAAGCUUCAGGAAGCAUUGUAUGUCCCAUUUAUCGAUAGAUACCCUUAUUUAUUGAUAGAUGCAAGAUAGAAUUGGAUUAUUAUGCAUGAUUAAAGACUUUUCAAAGGCAAAAAGGUUUUUAAGGGUUAUGUAAACCCACCUUCCAUUCAAAUGCUAUUUAAAAAAUAUUUAAAUACCAGGUUUCAUGAACUUUAUGAUUAAAUGGUUUAUGAAUGACAUGAGAUUUCAAGUGCAUGUUUACAAAAUACUCUUCUCCUUAGUUUGUGCCUUUCCCCAUAUCCACUCAUAAAGUCUUUGUGACUCACGUUAUUUUCCUUCACUAUUUUUGUUAUAGAUUAGCAAUAGCACUUUUAAUAACAGUCAGUGUCAUAGAGACAUGAUUUGCUCAUCGUUUAAUAGGUGAUCUAGAAGCCACUUGCAACUUAAAGGUCGAGUCAUGUUUUACAGAUGAGUCGAUUUUAUUUAUGUUUAUGUUUAUGGAUAAUGAAUAUGUUAAUGAUGAUGUAGCCAAUGUUUGGCAUUUUAUUUAUGAAUGUUAUGUUAUAUGUGCAAAGGAUGGCUUGAGAGCCUAUAUGGACACCCGAGGGUGUUGAUAAAUGUUUAUAUAAUACUGUGUAUGAGAUUAUAGCACUCUGAUUAUAUAUGAUAUGUUUGCACUUACACUAUUUAUGUUGAGAAGUUCCAUAACUGUGUAAUGUUGCCUAUGAUUGCAUGCAUGUGAUUUCAAUGUAUGUGUAUGGAUAGUCGAAUGUAUGCUUUCACACAUGAUUAUAAAUGCUUAAUGAAUAAAUGGGAUGAGGCUUGCUUGUGCCUAAUGAGCUAUACUUGUUUAGGUCCAUGUGUCGAUCAUAUCCCACCAUAAAAUGGGUUGUGACAUUAAUCAUGACAAGAUCAAGAAGGGACCAAUCAACACAAUCAAAGGCUUUUUCGAAGUUGAUUUUAAAGAAGAAACACCCUUCUUAUUUUUCUUCAUGGAGUUAAUAACUUCAUUUGCAAUUAAGACGUUACUAGAGACUUGCCAUCCCUUAAUGAAUGUAAAUUGGUUUAGGCUAAUGAUUUUACUAGCAACUUUUUGUAAAAGGUUGGCAAGGAUUUUUGCGAGAAUUUUGCAAACACUUUUGACAAGGCUUAUGAGUUUAUAGUCUUUGAGUAAUUCUACAUUGGCACACUUAGGCACAAGAGUGCAAAAAGGUGCAUUAAUUUUCUCAUCGAUGGAAUAAAAGUGGUAAAAAAACUAUGGUACCUUUAAGAUGUAGCCAUUAACGCUUGAAGAAGUUGAUAUUGUAGCCAUCGAGAUUGAGAGCUUUAUUCCCGUUGCAAUCUUAGAUGGUAUCCUAAACUUCAACUUUUGAGAAAGGAUUUUGCAACCAAUUAGCGGAUGCUGCAGAUAAUUGAUGAAAUUUGCAAUUGAAUUCACUCAGGUUAAUGAUAGGGUAAGAGCCACAGUGGGACUAAAAGUUAAAAGCUAUCUUUUCUUUAAGAGUGAAAAGGGAGUUAAUAGUGUUCCUACGAAUAACGAGCUUUUUAAUGAAGUUAGUGCACCUUUUGGUGGAGGCUGCCAAAUAGAAGUACCUAGUAUUGUGAUCCCCUUUGAGGGACCACUUGAUGUAAGAUUUUUGCUAUCAUGAACGUUAUUUUGCUCUAUAGGGAUCCCAUAAAUUACAACAAAGUUUCAAAAUAAAAGCCCUUUUAGCUUAAUCAACUACUCCCAUCUAUAUGUCAAGAUCAAUAGCGUGUAUUUCCUCCUCCAAGUUCUUAAUUUUCUAUCUGAUGUCCCUUUAAUUUAGCCUUUGCCAGUUUUUAAUGGUAGGUUUGAGAUCCCUUAAUUUACACCAGAUAUUCAAGAAUUCAAGAUUAUUAGCCGUAAUGAAAUUCCAAGCUUCCAUGAACAUUGGAUUAAAGCUUUUGUCAUCCAACUAGUAAUUGAAGAGAUGAAAAGGUUUUGGACCCCAAUUUGUUGCAUCAAUAGCAAUGGAGAUAGGAUGAUGGUCUGAUAAUGAUUUGCGAAGACAUUUUUGGAUAAUGUCAGGAAAUUCACUAAGUAGAUCUAUGGUGACCAAGAAUUGCUUGAGACGAUUGUAAGAUGGAAUGUCUUGAUUGCUGCACUAGGUGAAUGCAUUUAUGGAGAAAGGUAAAUUAGAAAAACCAGCAUUGAAGGCAAAGAUGUUGAAGUUCUUAAUUACUAGGAUGGAGGAAAAGUUACUUAUUCUUUCACUUAAACUCAUAAUUGCAUUAUAAUCUCCACCGAGGUACCAUAGGACACUAAAAUUUUUAUGGGUAAAUAAUAAGUCAUUCUAUAGCCGAGCUCUUUUCCCCAUCGUCAUUAAGUCCGUAAAUGUUUCCAAAUCGACAUACAAAACCAGAUGAUUGAAAUUUCCCAAUGAGAAGAAUAAGGUUUUUAGUAGUGAUGACAACAUCCAGUUCAAAAAAGCUGUCAUUCCGUAUAGAGACAAGGCCAUUGAAAGCUGUCAUUCUAGAUACAUAGUUGGUAUUGUAGAAAGUGAUUGGCCUACAGUGAUUCACAUAGUCUAAUGUCCAGAGUUGUGAGCUUAGUUUCCUACAAAAACAACAUACAGGGGUUUCUUUGUAGAACUAAAUUUUUUAUUACUUUUUGUUUGAUAGAGUUAUCCAAUCCCCUAAUGUUCCAUGUAAUGACACUCAUUGUAAAGUAGAAUUGCCAAAUGGAGCUUCCUUGUUAUUUUAGGCUGUUGACCAUUGACAAUCCUCCCAUUCAAAAGUUUCAAUUGUAUCCUUGACAUAAUUUUGGUUGGGCUCAAAUUCUAGGCCAACUUCAGUACCUAAUUGAUAAAUUUUGCACACUUCCUUCUUGAUGAGGGAGUUUUGGUAGGCAACAUUGGAGUCAGUAAUAUAUUUUCCUUGAGCAAAUAUCUAGGCAAUAGGGACAAGAAUCGGACUUUUGCUAUUAAAAGCUCUCUUUGUGCUAACGUUAGUUUUCGAGGCACUUACACAAUUACUCACAUAUUUUUUAAUGGUUUUAAGCUGUGUUUGAAGGGAAAAGUCGAUAGAUGGAUCAACAAUUCUGGCUGAUUGGGAGAUGAGAGUUAAUUAAUGAGUUAGGUAUUUGUUGCGAUUGGAUUCGACGGAUUGGGGCAGUUGGGUCAAAGCAUUGGGGGGAUAGGGGUUCAAUUUUUGGGAAAAGGGGGGAAUAAUUAGGUUAAGAUGUUUGGGCCGUAAUUGGUGAUGAAUAUGCUUGGAGAGGAAUGUGAGUCUUACAGGGGCCCAAUAAAAGGAUGGGACUUAAGUCUUUGGGUGGGUUUAUGGAUAAAGGUGAGAGGGUUGGGUUUAGUAAGGAUUCAAAUAGAGCAGUAGGCUUUAGGCUCUUAUUUAGAUUUAGGCUCAUAUGAGGUUCAAAUAAAUAAGUAGUGAUGGCCCAUUGAGGGGAAUUUUUGAGGGCGAAAGGUUAUUUAAGUUCAAAUGGGAGAUUUGACACAACCAGAUGAGUGUUAUCUUUUUCGAGAUGUUAAGGAUCUAAUUAUGGGAAUGGUUGUUGGCCUAAAUUUAGCUCGUUGUUGUUACCUUUUUGCUCUUCCUCGUGCAAUGAGCGAGCUCUUUGGCUAAGGGAAAAAGCAUGGCUUGAGGUUGACUUGUAGACUGUUUUCAAGUUUUCUGUCAGAUUUGCCUUGUUGGGCACAUUCUCUGAGGACUCAAGGGAGGAUGAAUCGUGGAAAGGAAAGGGAGCAAUGCUGAAUGGUGGCAAACAAUUGGCGUUGGUGGGGAUUGAGGGAAUCUCUACAAGCUCAGCAACAUUACCACUUUCUUAACCGAAGAUGGAGGAAUGGAUUUUAAAGCAUUUGCCAUUAGCAUAUGAGUAUGAGUAUGAGUGCUUUGCUAACUACUUCGAUCGAAAUAAGAACGAAGUCAAAUCUUUCUCGUUUCAAUGUUGAUUUAUGUGAUUGGAUGUAAUUACCUGAAGUGUUCUGCAAUAGUCUAAAGAGUGAGUCAUGCCAGAAGUGAAGUGGGAUCUCCUCGAGUUUGACGCAGACUUAAAGGGGAAGAGAAUGAUGACUUGUUUCAUAAAGGAAAAUAGACGUAAACUAGGGGUUGAAAAUUCUAGAGUGGGACCCAAGAAGAUAGUUCCUCUCGUCAAGGUUGGCGAAAGUAACAAGAACAAAUAGACCUUUUAAGGGGUGGACUCCAAUUGGAAUUCUUACAAUGGUGAGACCUUUCUGAGCUACUCUGAUGCUAGUUUCAUUCCUUAGGAGUCCCACAGCACUCCUACAUAACCAUUCCAUGUCUUUAGCAAUAGUUGGGUUUGCAUAGUGUAGGGUUUAGUGAUUGAGUGUAGAUGUGAGCUCAUAAAUUGUUUGUUUGCCUUUGUCUAGUGUAAUUGUAAGUUUAGAGGCUGCGUCACGAUGUGUUUUGUUAAUUGGGGUAUUGAAGGCUUGGUUUGUGUGGAGUGGAGGGUUUUGAGUUUUGGAUUACUUUUUUGUAGGUUCUGCCAUCUCAAGUGGAUAUGGGUGGAAGGGUUUUCUUAUGGGGUGGUUACAUUGGGAUGCUUUGUGGGCAUCGUUUUUUAUCUUUUUGGUCAUGGGAUGCUUUUCUCACUCUGAUGGUUUAACCAUUGAUUAGUCUUAGAUGACCGUAUUUGAUGGCAUUGUGCAUCUUGGCUAAAUCUUUGUAACUUAUGAAUGCGAACCUGAUACCUUUGACCCCUAUCUGAUGGUAGCUCACAAGUAUGUAGAUAUCCAUAACUUUACCAAAUGAGUUGAAUAACUCUUUGAGUUUGUCCUAGGUAACACUGAGGCUAAGCUUGUCCACAAAAACAGUGUGCAACAAAGAGAGCCAUCUAUUCCGACCCCAAGCAGACUUACCACAGUCUCAGACUCGAUCUCUGGAGUGAUGACGUCGCCCUGUCUUCACCAUGACUUCUAAAAGAAGAAUGGGAAAUUGAAACAAGAGAAAAAAAGACCAUCAGUUAUUUAUAUGUGCUUGCUUAAUUAUCAUUGCGUAAAUAGUUAUUAGUUUAAUAUACAACCCUUAUGUUUUAUAUAUUCCAUUUUACUGUUUUAAUUUUUGAUGAAAAAUUAUUAAAUGUUAAUAUUUUAAAAUUUAAAAUUUAAUAUAAAAGUAAUUUGUUUAUAUAUAAUUUUCGGUAAAAUUUUUUUAGCCCUAAAAUAUAAAGUGUUUUUGAAAAUAGCCCUUUAGAUAAUUUUAACUGUUUUUAGCCAAAAACUAAGAUUUUGAGACAAAAAUACCCUUAAUGAGGCCUCUUCAUUGACACGCACUCUCAUUCAUGUGCAUAUUGGGGAAAACAAAUCUACAAAGAAUUUGUUCCUUUUAAUUUUAUGCAAAACACCCUUUUUUUUUUCGAGAAGCUUGUGCAAAACAAAAUCUUGUUGCAAAAUAUAGUUUUUCUAAUAUCUUGGACAUCGCCGUAAACAAAAACGUCGUGCAUAUUACAUGGCAGGUCUAUUGAACUAUCUUUUGACUGAAGGUCAGGAUAGGAAAGUGUUUGACUAAGUUUACAAUUAUUACACAGUAAGUCAGUGAGUGAAUGUCAAUUUUUUUAUGGGUUUACUGAUUUUAAUGCCACAUUGGUUGAGAAUGUGGUUUAGUGUUUUGUUGUUAAAUGUGCAUUACUGUAUUCCAUUGAAAAUGUGUUUUAGAUAGUAUGAGAAGGUUGAUAUUAAACUAAGCAACAAAUCAAUCGUGAUGAAUCCAAAGUUUCGAGAAUUAUGUGAAACCAAAAAUCCCUGAUACGGUGGUGAAUUGAAAGCAGAAAGAUGUGAAUCUAAAGGAUGAACUAGUCAUGCUAUAGCAGGCCAUAUGUGACACGACAGAGUUUAGAGUUUGUAAAAUGCCUGUGUGAGGAUGUGACACACCGUGGUGUGAAUAUGUGACAUGCCAUGGUGAGCAUAUGUGACAUGGUAGGGUUUAGAGUUUAUGACAUGCCAUGGUGGGAUUGUGUGACAUAGCAUGAUGAGAAUCUGUGACACGACAUGUUGAAAUCGUGUAAGACGACAAGGCGAGAAUCUGUGACAUGAUAGGGUUUAGAGUUUGUGACACGCCAUGGUGGGAAUGUGUGAAAUAGUGUCAUGAGCCAACCUUGUAUAAGACCAUGAUAGGGUAGAGUUGUAUAUGAGAUUGAGUCUUUUGUACUUAUAAGGGAAAUGUCCUUAUUUCAAACAAUGUAAUGACUCGUGGUGACACCUCCAAAAAUACUUGUUAAGUUUUUAGAGGGAAAGACCUUUUAGGAAAAGAAUGUCCUCAUUUUAAGCGUUGUAAUGGCUACUGGUAGAAUACUUGUAAAAUCUUUUAAUGGGGUGAGCAGUCGACGGAUUGUUGGGCUGCUUCACUAGUAAAGGUAUGUUUGUAGUGAAUCAUCUAGGGUUACCCCUAUGGCUCGACGAUGGCGUGUCUUGGUCCCUUUGUAAUUAAUUUCAUAUUAAUAAAAUAUUUUUCUUUUUUAUGACUUAAUGGUUGCAUAUAUGGCAUUCGAUAUGCCUUUUGAUUUUGAUGCGGGUUCUCUUAGUUUGAUUUAUUGUUAUUAUUAAUGUUAGAUCAGAUAUAAUCGAGUAUUGGUUAACUUGCAUGGAAGCGUCCACUCAAGUGCCGCACGGACUAUCGCAAACUUAGGCGAAUGAGCAUAGUUCGUGAUAGUUGGUAUCAAAGCACGAGCGAGACGUGUUGAUCAAAAGUGUAAAAAUGGUGACCGCGGGUAGUGCACCAGAGGACCAUCAGAGGAUUGAUAAGCUAGAGGUCGCGGUGGUCAUAGUAAAAGCUCAGAUGGUUUCACGUGAACGAAUAGAUGAAAUUAAGACAGUUUAGUGGGAACUGUCUGAGAUGAUUAAUACCCUCAGUGAUGAGACCAGGAAUGCAUUGAGCACUCUCUAAGGCAAGAUUGGAAAAUUGAAAGCUUAGAUAAAUCAUUUAGUUAUUGCUGCAGGUAAUGCCAGUGCAAAUUCAAGAGAUCGAGGUAAAGAGGCCAAAGUGUUGGAACCCAUACUAUACAAAGGGGUUUGAGAUGCUAAGGAGUUGAAGAAUUUUCUUUUUGAAACGGAACAAUAUUUUCAAACUCUACGAACGGAGUCGAAAGAGGACAAAGUGGUGAUGGCUUCAAUGUAUCUUGUUGGGGAUGUAAAGUUGUGGUGGCGUUCCAAAUUCAUCAAUGGUGAGUGUCGUAUCAACACUUAGGCAGACCUAAAGCAGGAAUUGAGGAACCAGCUACUUUGUGCGAAUAUAUCACUCACCAUCGAUGAAUUUGGAAGGUCGAAUUCGUAACUCAAAGGGUGAUCGCAUCAAACUUACAACUAUUGAGGGCGUUUGCCACACGAUUCGCUUUUCCAACUUUAUGCUCAAAGGAUAAAUCAAACUAGGCUAGGAACUCUUGCCAUCUCGCUUGCUUAGCUGUAAGUUUUGGUUGUGUAAAGAAGUGACUUACGACUGUAUUGUCGGUCUUAACCAUGAAUUGUCAUCCUAGCAAGUAGUGUCGUUAGGCUUGUAAACAGUGAACCACUAAAAGUAGUUCUUUCUCCUAUGUCGUGCAUGUCAUCUCAGCUUCAUUUAACUUUCGACUUUCAAACCCAAUCGGGUGUCCUUCUUAUAGUAACACUCUUCUAAGGGUAAAGUUUGAUGCAUCCGUUUAUACCUCAAAGGGCUUUACAAUAUCAGUUAGUGAUAAAACAAGAUCCGUCAUCCUCGUGUCUUUUAAGCCUUCGAAGGCUUCUUAACACUACGGUGUCUAACUCUACUUUUGUCCCUUUUUCAAUAAUUCUGUCAGUGCUAUUGUCUUUGUUGAAUAUCCUUCCAUAAAUCUUUGAUAAUAAUUGGCUAGCUCUAAGAAAAAACCAAGCUCAGUUGUAUUCUUAGGGGUGGUUUAUUCCUUAAUAGCCUUUACCUUCUUCAUGUCCAUCCGAAUGUGCCCUUAUUCAAUUAUGUGGCCAAGAAAUUGGUUGUCAUGUAGCCUUUAGAAGACUUACCACAAGUGUCGUUGAUGCUCCUCUAAGGUCGAACUGUACACCAUGAUAUCAUCAAAGUAGAUUACCACAAACUUGUCCAGAUACUCAUGGAAUACCUAAUUUAUCAAUGUGCAAAAGGUAGUAGGAGUAUUAGUUAGUCCAAAAGGCAUAACAAGAAAUUCAAAUGUGCCAUACAACGUUGUGCAGGUGAUUUUCGGCUCAUCUCCCUCAGCCACUCUUACUUGAUGGUAUCUUGAUCUUAAAUCUAAUUGGAUGAGCACUUUGUACCACUUAGCUAGUCCAAGAGAUCUGCUAUAAGAGGGAUAGGAUAUUUAUCCUUAACUGUGACUUUAUUCAGAGUUUGGUAAUCCAUGUACAACUGUAAACUCCCAUCUUGCUUCUUUUGAAAAAGUAUUAGGGCUUCAAAAGGUGCUUUUGAUUAGACAAACUCCCCCACAGUUAAUGGAGCUAAGGAAACAAUUAGACAAUCUGAUUCAAGCUAGAUUUAUCCGACCAUCAAAAGCACCUUUUGAAGCCCUAAUGCUUUUGAUGGUCGGAUAAAUCUAGCUUGAAUCAGAUUGUCUAAUUGUUUCCUUAGCUCCAUUAACUGUGGGGGAGCCAUCUUGUAUGAUCUUUUUGCAAGCGGCUUAACUAUUGGAAGUAAUUCUAUCUCAUGAUUGACAACUCGUUGAGGCGGUAAGACCCUUAGUAGUUAUUUUGGCAUCAUAUCUUGAAAUUCUUUCAAGACCAGUUUCAUUUCUUCGAUUGUUGGAUUUGUGGUAUCUUCGCCUUGAAAGAUGGGCAUAGCCACGUAGGAGGGUUUACCUUUCUUAAUCCCCUUCUUAAAUUGUAUAGUUGAGAUAAUCAUUUUCCCACUAUUAGGUAGAAUUAUAGCUAGUACCACACAUGGUCUUUCUCCAAAAAUCAUUAUACAACUCACAAUAAGAAAAGGGAUGGUUUGUGCUUUUGUCAUAAAAUCCAAUCCCAAGACAAAAUUAAAGUCAUCUAUAGUGGCUACAAUUAGGUUUAUCUUCCCUUUCCAAGUACCAAUCUUAACCUUUACGGCUUUGGCAUUUCCCAUGAUAGUUGAAGCUGGCGAGUUAAUUACUUUCAUCUGUCCAAAGUCCUUCUCAACUUUAAAAUCGCAUCUUUUUGCCUUUCUUGAGGUGAUGAGGGUGUUUGAGGCCCUUGUGUCUAGCAUGGCUUUGGUACUUUUCUUAUUCAAUAACGCCUCUACAUACAUUAGACUUUUUUUAGGCUCAUUCUCAAUCUUUUCUAAUUACACCAUUAAAGCGCUAAGGAAACAAAUAAAACCCAUUUGUGCUUGCUCUUUCUCGGCUUCUUCAAUUAUGGUAUGGGAUAGGGGUGUCUUAACAUUGGCAGUGCAUAUCGCAUUGAGAGCUAUUUAGUGAGAACAAUCAGCUACUCGAUGAGGUUAUUUGCAUAGAAAACAAGAUAUUGGAGGUCGUGACUUGAAAUUCCAUAGCUUGUUUGUUCUUGGUUGGGGUGAGUUUCUAGCAAGUGAUCUCCUAUCACCUCCCCCACUCAAGAGUCUACUCACUCUAAAAAAUUUUACCCCACUGCUUGAACUAGAGUUACUGGUCUUUGAUGGAAGGUCCUUUCUUUUAUUGGAGUUUUCACUAUAAUCAGUAAGGCGCUUGGUAAUCGCCAUCGUCGAAGUUACAUCUUGUACUUUCUGUCGUUGUAACUCCAUCCUCACCCAUGGUUUCAGACCCUUGAGAAAAUAGUAUAAUCUAUCUUUUUCAAUCAUAUCCCUGAUAUCUAUCAUUAAAGUAGAGAAGUUCCUGACAAACUUCUGUACUGAUCUCGUUUGUGACAACUCACAUAACUUCCAUCAUGCCAUAUACUCAACAUUUUCAGGAAAAAAUUGGUUCUUCAAUUCCUGCUUUACGUUCACCCAAGUAUUGAUACGACACUCAUCAUCGAUGAAUUUGGAACGUCACCAUAACUUUGCAUCCCUGACAAGAUACAUUGAAGCCAUCAUCACUUUGUCUUUCUCUAACUCUGUGCGCACAACUCGAUAAUAUUGUUUCAUAUAAAAAAGGAAGUUCUCCAAUUUCUUAGCAUCUUUAACCCUUUGUAUCGCUUGGGUUCCAGCACUUUGGCCCUUUUACCUCGAUCUCUUGAAUUUGCACUAGCAUUACCUGCAGCAAUAAUCAAAAGAUUUAUCUGAGCUUUCAAUUCUCUAAUCUUGCCUUGGAAAAUGCUCAAUGCAUUCCUGAUCUCAUCACUCAGAGUAUUAAUCAUCUCGGAUAAUUCCCACUAGAUUAUCUCAAUUUCAUCUAUUCGCUAUCGCGAAACCAUCUGAGCUUUUAUUGCGGCCACUACGACCUCUAGCUCAUCAAUCCUCUUAUGGUCCUAUAGUUAACUCCGCGUGAUCACCAUUUUUACUCUUUAGAUCAGCACAUCUCACCCGUGCUCUGAUACCAACUAUCAAGAACUAUGCUCUUUCGCCUAAGUAUGCGAUAGUCCGUGUGGCACUUGAGUGGACGCUUUCAUGAAAGCCAACCCAUACUCAGUUAUAUCUGAUCUAACAUCUAUAAUAGCAACAAAUUAGACUAAGAUAAUGCACAUCAAAAUCAUAGGGCAUACCGAAUGCCACAUACGCAACCAUUGAGCCAUAAAAAGAAACAAUAUUUUAUUAAUAUGAAAAUAAGUACAAAAGAACCAAAGCACGCCAUCGUCGGGCCAUAGGGGUCGCUUUAGAUGAUUGGUUACAAACAUACCUUUACUAGUGAGGCAGCCUAAUAAUUUGUCGAUUGCUCACCCCCUCUAAAGAGUUUACGACAUUUUACACGUAUUUUACCAAUAACGAUUACAAUGCUUGAGAUGAAGACAUUCCUUUCCUAAAAGGUCUUUCCCCCUAAGAACCUAACAAAUAUUUUUAGAGAUGUCACAACGAGCCAUUACAAUGUUUGAAAGAGGGACAUUUCCCUUACAAGUACCAAAGACUCAAUCUCUUAGACAACUCUACCUUAUCAUAGUUCGAUACAAGAUUGACUCAUGACACUUAGCGUGUAACAACAUUUUACUUGGUAUGCAUAGCAUGUAAUAAGAUUUUACUUGGUAUGCAUAACAUGUAACAACGUUUAACUUGGUAUACAUAGCUUGUAACAACAUUUAUUUCUUUCUUCAAUCUACCAUGUUGCACAUUAUGGGUUAACUAUUUGUUAGUCUAUUUCACAUGUGCAUGCGUGCUAUGUUUGGCAAAUGUAGUUCAAAGAGUAUGAUAACCUUGACACUUUGCUUGUUGUGUCGAUGGAGAAUUAGGCGUUCAAGGUCUUCAUUAACACCCACUAUAAGUGGUCGCAACUGCAUUACAUCAACAAGAUUCUCCAAGAAAAAGGGGAAUACGAUGCAAUCAAGCGUAUGUGUUUUGGAAUAUUGCUGGACGUAUAUCCACAAGGCUACUGUUGCGCUGGUCUCCUGUAGAACACCAUGAUUUAUCAAAUCACUGAGACAAAGUCAAUAGACCAUGAGUUAUGGUUUGCCAUUGGCAAGACCAAAGUGCGUAUAUCAAAGUAGGAGUUCUGCCUUAUCACUGGACUCAAGUUUGGCCCACUGCUCAAUGUAUUCACAAGACCUUACAAUGUUGUUCCCGACGGAAUUCAUGCGAGAUACUGGAAUGGGCAACAAAGUGUUAAGCUGUAGGCAUUGCUUGAUCUAUUUUGAGGAGACAACUUUCAGCGACUAAGAGACAUAACCAAGAUGGCAUUUGUCUUGAUCGUGAAUAAUAUUUUGUUUGGUCAAGACUACCGUAGACGGGUGAAGCCUUAGCUUUUGUCAUUAAUGGAGGACAUCGAUGCUUGGAAUGUCUUACCUUAUGGUCACUAUAUUUGAAGGCUGACCGAGGACUACUUAUUGAAGGGGUUCAAAGUGCCUACCCCAAACUUGCAGAAGAAUAAUCGUUUACGCGACAACAUUUACGGAUUUAUGUGGGUGAUACAAGUACUGUCACAUAAUAUUUUCCAAUUUCAUUUUGAUAUAAUAAUUUAUAGUUACACUCGUUUAUCAUUUAUGGUAUGAUAAUGGGUACAUUUGACUAGCAGUUAUGGGCAAUGGAGGUGAUUCCUGCCUUUCAAAAAUUAGUUGCCUUUUCUACUCCUAAGGACAAUGUCUACCCAUGUAUGUGCAGACGGUAAUGCAAUCAAAAGUUGAAAGACUUCUACAAGGCGAUUGAGAAGUUGGAGUCAUCUAAGCAGGUGAGUGAACAACUACUAAUUUAUGUUGUCAAUAUGUAUAAUAAUUAUCAUAAAAUUUAUCAAAAUGCCUAUUUUGUAGUUGUGGGCACACAAAACCUUGAAACCCACCCCGGAUGAUGCCACACGAGAAUAUUGUGUGGACAUCGAUGUCCUUCUAUUUGAGGGGCAUCGGUACGUGCCAAUAGGGCACAUGGAGGAUCAAGCAAAGUAGGGUUUAGGUGCGAGGGAAAAGAGGAGAAACCUGAAGGAGAAAAAAGCCACUAGUCUCGUUAAAUGGAGGCACACCAAAGUUUUUGGAGACGAUGAGCUGUCAGGCCCUGAGUUAAUAAAGGAAGGGGACAACCGUGGCAAUAUUAGUGAAUCAUCGGUAAAGACGGUUCUUACGGAUUAUGUUCAACAGUUCCAUAUGUGAUUAUUGAAUAACACAAUAAUUUAUGUUAUUGCAAUUGACUGAUGUGGCGACAGCUCCUCAACCAUCGAUAGGUCAUACUUUGAUGCAUAGUGCUAACAAGCCACUGGUAAGGACGGUUCUAACUGUUUGUUUCCAAUAAUUCCAUAUAUGAUUCGAAUAACAUAGUAAUUUCUAUUAUUAUAGUUGACUGAUGCGACGACAACUCCUCAAUCACCGACAGAACUUGCUUAGAAGUACAAUGCUAAUUAACCGCUAGUAAGGAUAUUAAAGUUCUAAUGGUUUAUGUUCAACAAUUCCAUAUAUGAUUGUCGAAUAACAAAGUAAUAUAUGUUAUUGCAAUUGAUCAAUUCGAUAAGAGUCAAUGAUGUAGUCACCAAAUGUCAACUGCGAUGGAUUAUACUCAAGCAUAGAAAAGACAUGUUAGAUUUGAAGGCUUCAAUUUAGUCAUUGAAUGAUGCAAUGCAGACGUUUGAAGACCGUAUUGUUGGUCAGAUUCUAGACAGCCUGAAAUAACAAGUACAUUAUUCUAGCUUCACUCAUAUAUUGGUGGUUUACGUUUAGUGGGUGUAGUCUUAUUUUAUAUUUUUGGUUUAUGGUUUACGGUAUUUUAUGAGUUAACAAAUUUUUUCAUUUGUCUCUUUCUGUAGGGCAUGCUUUAUCUCACCAUGAUGGUGAACACCAUAAUGAUGCUGAUGAUGGACAACAUGAUGAACCUGGUGUUCACAUUGACCAUAACGUUAUUGAUGUUGACGGAGAGAAUGUAACUCAUGUUGAUGACGUUCUUGAUGAUUCAGUGGCAGGGGAUGUGACCUUUCAAUUAGUUGAUGCUGAAGGAGACCAUGUUCCUCAAGCUGAUGUGAUUGUCGAUGCAUCUGCGGGAGAGGAGGGGGACCUUCACUCAGUUGAGGCUGAAGGAAACCAUGUUCCUCAGGCCAAUGUGGUAGUCGAGGCAGUUGCGGCAGGGGAUGAGAACCUUGCAUCAGCUCAAGCUGAAGGAGACCAUGUUCCUUAGGCAGAUGCGUUAGUUAAGGCAGCUGUAGGAGGGGAUGGGCACUUUGCAUCAGUUUAGGCUAAAGGGGACCAUGUUCCUUAGAGCACUCUUGAAAGCAGUGCGUCACGGUUGUCGUCAUUAGAGUUGUCUAAUGUCCAUCAUCAUAAAGCACUCAUUUCAAACCUAAUUGAACGGGCAUGGGUCAAAAUGGCUAGCAAAUGCAUAACAAGCUUGUACGUUGACCCAUUGGUGAGCCACCGGGAUCUAAAGAACUCAAUGGUGGAAGCGUACAAAGUUUUCAAGAAAGAUGAAUGUGCGAGAUAAACUCAUAAACAACAUUGCAAAUGCUGUUUUUGAAUGAAAUAUUAAUCCAUCGAGCCUUUUGAAAUUCAUUCUGUUACAUGUGCAGAUGUAAUAUCGAGAUUUUAGGGGAUCAAGGGCUUGACUUUUUCACAAGAUUAAAGGAUCCCAAAGAGGAAAUGGCAAGUGAACAAAUUGAUGCACACCUCAGCGUACUAUGUAAGUGAAUUACAUGGUCGAGGUUGAAGUCCAAGUUGUGCAACACUCGUGCAUGCGUGGUUGAAACAAUAUUCUUUGGAAGUUUUGGAUUGCAUGACGUGUAAGUUGAUGAUAAAUAUUUCAUAGGACACCAUUCAUAUGCUUUACACCGCAUAUCCAACUGAAGCUAAACGAUCGACUAUGAAAAUUAUAGAUGAGUUGCGGGGGUACGUGGAAGAUGAUAGGCCGACAUACGAGAAAAAAUGAGAAGAUGUCGAUUUCAUCCUCACGCUUUGCAAUAUGGUAGGCACUCGGUGGUUGUGAAGAUCGACUUGGUCAAGUGGACGAUCAAGGUGGUGGACUCUGCAAAAACUUCGGCUGCUAAGGAUAACAGAGUGCGUGCGACUCAAAUGACACCUCUUAUGAUGAUGAUGCCUAUCGUUUGCCACCAAUCCGGUUAUUUCAACAAAACGCGUCACAAGACACGAGAUUCCACAUCAAUUCCAUUGGAAAUUCAUUUGCCAAAAUCAUUAGUGCAUCGCUAGAAUGAUUGCGUCAAUUGACAUAUGUUUACCAUAGGGUACAUUGAAGAUAUCUUGCAAUCGAAACUGAUCAGAGUUAAGCAGAAGAUAAUUGCUAAUAUGCAUCGCUAAUACGCUCUAUAAAUUUUUAGCAACAGUUGUGAGAGCGAACCCUAAACCCUGCAAUAUGAACAUAUCGGGAGUUUUAUGUAGAUUUUUUGUAGAUACAAUUAAUUUUUAUAUUCAUACAUUUUAUACAUUAAUUUUUCAAUUUCGACACAGUGCUUAUAAUGAUCAGAAGCUUAUGUAAAUUAAAUUAAUUGGUUGUUUUACCUUCAACCUGUGGGUUUUUUACUGAUGGUGCGUCACAACAAGCUCUUAACGACAUCUAACAAGCGUGUCGUGUCACCAUAAUACUGCAACGACUCAGCUUGCCACCACAAGAUGUCAACAACAUCUAACAAUUGGAGCAUGGCUUGUCAUCCCAUAAUACUACAAUGACUCAACGUGUCAUCACAAGAUGUUAAUGACAUCUAACAAUUGGAACGUAACGUGUCACCCCAUAAUAUUGCAACCAUUCAGCGUGUCACCACAAGAUGUCAACGACAUCUAACAAGCGUGGCAUGUCACCCUAAAAUACUGCAACGACAUGGUGUGUCACCAUAAGAUGUAAACAACAUCUAACAAUUGGAGCGUGUAACAAUAUAAUAUGACUUAAUAGAUUGUUAUUAUUGCCCGAAAUUUGAGUCUUGUGAGAUCAUUUUUUUGUAUGGUAUCUUUCCAUGGCUUAUUUAUCUAAAAUUAAUUAUAAAACUUGUUAAAAAUUCUACUCAUUGACAUACAUUAAAUUAAAAUAUUUGAAAUAAAUAAUAUGAGUUAUUACAUAGCAAAUUAUCAAAUUCAGUAACAAACAAUAUGACAAUUUUCUAUUCAUUGAUCAAAGCUAAAUAUAAAAUUCAAAUAAUCAAAUAAUAUAUCUACAAAAUAAAUAAAAAAAUAAAGAGUCAUAAUAUAUCUACACUACUCUUUCCAACGUGGGUCCGCCAAUGGAUACAAUGAUGACAUUUUCUCAGUCCAUUAUUAACUAACAAACACAAAAUAUGAAUGAAUGUAAGAAAUUGCAAGAGAAAAUUGUGAGAAAGGCAUUGGAUAUGGCUCACACAUUUAGUUAGGUCGACAAACUGUCUUUAUCUACAAGAUACCUUACGUUCUCAAACAUUGUCCUUUGCAUUGGACAAGUGUUGCGUGUGUGACCAGUUUGUUUGCAAGUUGAACAUGCUGGUCGUCGCACUCGUGGAGGUGUCGAUUGACUUGGAGAUGAUGCCAGAUUUGUGGAUGGAACUGUAAACAGGGAUGGGUAAUUUUGUCUAUUAUGCCCGUACCUCUUGCAUUGUGAACAUCUCCGUGAUCAAUUGCUUUCACCACCUGAUGGAAUCUUUUUCCUCUUAGGUCUUUCCGCUUGACCUCACCAAGGUGGUGGCAAAACAACUAUUUUUUUCACAUGAGGGGGGAUGUCCCAUUCACUGGGAUGCCAUACCGAGCGAAUAGACCCUGCAUAACCCUUCACCAAAAUGGUUGUCUUGUAGUAGUUAGCAUAGAAUUCAACGGCUUUACGUUUGCAUUUAUUGAAAAAUACAAUGAACUCAAUGUUCAAGUGCUAUGUAAAUGCUAUGUUAAUUCAGGUUUAAAUAAGAAAUAAAGAUAUCUUGACCUUAUUGCCACAAUGGCAUGGUUGCAUGGCAGUAGAUCUAUUUAGAACUCACAACAUGAACACGUCUUCCUGGACAGGUUGACAAGUCCCUCUAUCUUCCUGUCUCUAACUUCGAACUUCACUCGAUUGAUAGGUUUAACUACAAAACGAUGUGCAUUAUUGAACUGUUUGCUUAACUACCUAGUAACCUAAGGGCUGAGGGGCAUGGUCACCUUAACGACUUCCUAGUACCGAUCAUGGAACCAACGCUAGAACAUGUCUCUAAUGAACUUGAUCAGAACAGUGAUUGGCAUUUGUAUUGCAUGUUUCAAGCAUGAGUUAACACGUUCAGCAGUGUUGGAUGUCAUGAGUUGGUAUCGCUUGCUAGUGAUCGUGCACGUGCCCAUCUCUCAAGGCUUAUUCUCACAAGGUCAGAGUGGGGUCCCGCAUGAAUCUGCUUGAGUUGGUUCAUAUGUCUAUUGAAAUUAAAAACCUUAUAGCAUUCUCGAGCAAAGGUGAAAAUCAUAGAAACAUCGUCAUGCUUGAUCUUAUUUUUAAAGUUUUUCUUCAAGUGGUAACUGCAUAAACCGUGGUGCGCUUUUGGGUAUGCAUGUUGGAUUGCUUUCUUAAUGCUGAGAUGCUGAUAAAAAAAUGAACAUAGUGUUUUCAAGACAAUCAACCGCAUCACACAGCUUGCUAAGAAACCACGUCCAUGAGUCUUCGUCCUCAACAUGGCCUAUGUCAAAUGCAACUAGAUAUACGCACUCGUUCGUAGCUUUGCAUACAAUGACAAACAUAACAUCUUUGAACUUGCCUUUCAGAUGUGUUGCAUCAAUGGCAACCGUAGGAUGCAUUACAUCCCUAAACCCUUGGAUACAAGCCCCGUAGAACCAGAAACAAUAUUUGAAUCUUUGUGCCUUAUCAAUAGCCACUAUAAUGAUUGUGUCGAGAUUUUUUGGUUCCAACAUAUAAAAAAACAAGGGUAGUAGUUGAAAUGACUCAUCAGGGGAACCGAAAACAAGGCUCUCCACAUACUCUUUCAUUUGCCAGGCCUUACUAUACAAGCAUCCCAAUCCCCAUUAAACCCUUUUAUCACCAAUUAUGUCUUUAGGUCUCAAUGUUACUCCAUUAGCUUGAAGCUUAUGUGACAUAAGUUCACCAAUUAUGUUCAUUCUCACGGUUUGAAAACACCCUUGUAAACCAUCAACAGUACAUAUGUGUACUUUGUGGAAUGUCCAAACUUGCCAAUAUUCUCCUUCAAGUAACUUCAUUGCAUGCACAUCGAACUUACAUACCUUGUCCUUGCAAUCAACCUCAAAACAACCUUUACAUGACCUUUUCACUCUUAUCUCAAACUACUCUUUUAGAGCCAGCAUGUUCAAAGCUCGUUUCAACUCGACCUUCGAGGAAAACAUUCUUCCUUUAUAUAAGCGAUCAUCGGCACAUGUCGAUUCCUCAGUGGUAAUUGUUUGGAAGCAUAACCUUUCUACACCUAGAAUUAGCCAUGUACGAAAUAUCCCUACAUUUCCCCCUUUUUUGAUAGCUGUCAUUAAGCAAUGUCUUAGGCAAACAAAUCCCGUUCUCACCAGCGAUGGGGUUAUUGUAUAUGGGGUCAUCACAUUGAACAUCUCCUACAUCAACACCUCCAACAGGUUCCAUUUUGCCUUCAACAUUAUUGCAAAUUGGAAUGUCACUGUUAUAAAACCAGUCAUUGUUUAAAUUGUCGUCAUGCCAAUCAUCAGGCUAUUCAUCUGAAUUGUCAUCAAAGCUAUCUUCACCGGCAAGGAACAAAUCCUCAUUUCCCUUAUCAGAUACAGUAUUAUCCUCGAGUGUCACAAUGUCAUCCUCCAACGUCUUAGUACUGUCUUUAAGUGUCGCAGUCUAUUUUGAAAAUGGCAUUACACUCUCUACAGUUUCACCAGAUCAUUGCAUUUGUUGGAUAGAAGCAAGUAAUUGGUUCGAUGCACAUGUUGAUUGGAAUUGUGUAGCCAACUUUUUUGUGAAUGUCGUGUGUCUAUCAAGCUACACAAAUUCUUAUGCUUACAUAAAUUGCCAUUGUUGUGGGUUAUGGACUGAAUGUUGGGGUAUAUGUGAAGCAUUGUAAGUCUCAUUUUGAUUGAGCUAAUUACCAUGUUGUACAGCUUCUUCAUGUGACAUAACAUUUGUAUGGCGUUUUUUAAUGGUGACAUACAUUGCCGAAAAAUUCCUCUGUUCUAGCAGAAUUAAUGCAACAUCUUCAUCGUCCUUGAUAAUUGGGCGUGAUAGCUCUUCUGGUGUACUGAUCAAUGCAUAUAACUUAAUCUUGUGAAUUUAUGAGUUUACCCCAACAACAUCUUCAACCAGCUUCAUCAAGCCUACAAACGACAAAUCACUCCUAACACCCCGCAUUCGUGACUCAUCACCCUUGCAAAUGUCAUCCACCCACUGACCACCGUGUCUUAUCACAAGUGGCACAAUUGGAACCCCACUGAAAUUUUGAAAAUAAAAAAUUUGUCAGUCAUUUUACACAUCACAUGCCGUGUUCUAAAUUUUGUCAAUCAUGUUGUUACACGUCAUGCUCAAAAAAAUGUUACAUGUCAUGUUCAAAAAAUGUUACAUGCCAUGUUCAAUAAAAGUGUUACAUGCCAUUUGCUAACACAUGUUAUUUCAAUAUAUUUUUUAGAUGCCAUGUGCAUUAGAGAUGUAUGGCGUGUAACCCAUUUGGGCAAUAUUUCUAAUCCAUGUUCUAAUUUACACAAAAAGUUUUAGAAAUUAAUGUGUUACAGCAAUAAACCUAAUAACAUACCUUGAUGUCAUCUCUACUCUAGGGUCUGCUUAUCAACGAUGAUAUGGCUAGAUGCCAAGAGACAAACUACGACACGAUAACGAUGGUGCUCAACGGAGAGUUGACAGAGCUGAUUCAGUUCAGAGAGCUGAAAGAGCUUAUGACGAUGGUGUUUAACAAAGAGUUGAUAAAGCUGAUACAGUUCAGAGAGCUGAGAGCGUUGAGUGAGCUAAAAUAGCUGAGCAUUUAUUUUCUCUACAACGUGAGGGAGAUAUCAGGAGAUUAAGUUGCCAUGAUGUUUUUAAGGACAUUCGGUCUACUCAUUCUUGUUCUUGGGUAAAAACAGAUAACUUUAUAUGAGUAGUUAUUUUUGAAAUCACCUUAUGAGGAGGGUUAUUUCUUAUAAUUUUCUCUAUAAUUUUUUAAUUUUAUAUUAAAUAAAAAAUGAACGUUCAAUUUGAAACUAAAUGAGUACUAAUUCCUUGGUUGAUUGAAAAACCAUGGAGGUAUGAACGAAGAAAUGAAGCAAAAGGCUAAAAGAUAGUAUAAAAACAAAUUGAAACUUUCAAAAAAGAGUGGAUGAACAAUAAAAUGUAAAAUAUAUUUUAAAACAGAAACUCUUCAUGAUAAGUUACUCAAGCUAAGUAUUUGCUUCUUUCGUUAAAUUAUUCAAAUUUAAAUAGACCAUAUAUAAAUGAGUCAAAUUAAGGUAUACAAAUUAAGGUUGUCAAUAUAUAUACUGAGCAAUAUUGAUCAAUAACAAUGUAAUACUAGAUUAUUUUAGACGUACAGCAUUCAAAGAAGAAUUUGGAAUAUUCACAUUAUUAUGAAUAAUUUGAUUCUAUAAUUGAAAAUAUAAUGUUAUAAAUGAAAUCCAGUACAUUAAAGAGUUUGCAUUCCGUACCACUACUAGUGUUUUCCUAAUUGGUAACAAAAUAUGCAAAUCUUAGUGUAUACAAGGUUGUCAUGAUCUGGAAUUCGGAUAUAAGAGCAUAUUCCCAGCAUUAUUUCUCCUUCCCCUUGCUUUCUUUAAAAGCGUGUCUUCUUUCUGAGCAAAAGAAUUAAACUCUGUCCUCUCAUGCAACACCAUGCAAAGUAAUAUAAUAUCUUUUCAUUGUUGCUGCUGCUUUGGAUUAAGUAUUCUACUAUUCUUUAGUCGUGAUCGGUUGUGAUGCUGAAAAGUGGAGAAUUUUUAUGGAUAUUUGUUAGUUUUGUAUUUGGGUUUGAAGCCACAAUGUUGAAGAUGAUUUUGUAUUGGAUGAGCCCUGAUUUUUUGGUCUAAAUGGUAAAAAAAUAGGUCAUGCUCUCACCAAUACACAGUUUGAUACCAAUUUCGAAACAGAACAAAGAGUGCGAGAAUUUGCCUGCUAAUCUUGUAAGUGGUUUCCAGGAGCCCAGCUACCUGCCCCGUAGUCAAAUUUAGACCCACUUGAAUGUGUAGAUUGGAGCAUAUUGAAUUGAAGCAAGACCAUUUUAUUCCAGACAUGAGAAGGUCAAUGAACAAGAAGCAAGCACAUUGAAAAUGACAACGAAAUAGAAUGAAAAAGAGGGCAUCCUUUUCACUAAUUAGCUACUAAUUGAGUCUCUGAAGCAACUAAACUUCGGUUAUCUCAAGGAGAUCCCAUUUGGGAGCGUUGAGAUCCAAUAGAAGAAGCGCAACAGCGACAACAGUGGCCUGGUGGUGGAUCCGUGCAACAUACACAAACAGGACAUAUAGGUUGCUUCUCAAUUGGAGCUCCAAAAUUUAUGCACCUCAAGAUUAAGAUCAAACUUCUAAAACAAAUUACUCGCAAUGGGUCAGGAAUUAAUAUAAAAUCUAGUGGUUCACAGGUUUACCUGGAUGACCAAUUAAUCGAACUGCAUCACAGGGUAACAUGGGAGAUAAAACUAAAGCGAAAAUAACAAAGGUUAUCAGAAAAGACCUUGGGUACUCCCCUGCCAUUGCCAAUACCAGAUUUGAUGAUGUAAAUUAGAGGUAGUAAGUGAAGCAUAUUUAUAGAGUUCUUUAAGUCUAAGAUGGAUAUGAACAUCUGCAACUUGCACCUUUAUUUUCAUAUAUUCUGUUAAUUUAUUGCAAUUUUCCACUCAAUAUUGUGGUUUGACCCAAUAUUCAAACUUGGCUCUUUCUUUAUAUGAUUUUCUUUCCCUAAAUUUCCAUAAGUAAAAAAUUCUCAUUUUUUUCCUCCCACAUUCAUUGAAGAUUAAAUGUUAGCUUAAUUUACAAAUUUUUAAGGUCGAAUUUGAUAAAGAAAUUCCACCUUAAAACAUUGUUGCACAUUUUCUUUAUAAUUUGUGAUAGAUAAAUAAUAGAGGUUGACUUGAAAAAAGAAUAGAGUUUUGAGUCGGUGUCGUAUUUGACCAGCUGCUAUUAACUUCCUCAGCAGGUUGACCAAGUGGCCAUCGGGUUGGGAUUUUUUUUUCUUUUUUCUUUUUUAAAUUGAUAUAGAUUUGCAUUGAAAGACCAUACGUGGCAAGUGGCAAGUUGCCACUAACAAGUAAUGAAGACUUCAUUUCAAAAAAAUUUCCUACUAACCUAACAAUUGGGUAACCUGGUCAAGAUUAAAUAGUUCUGAAUUCACAUUGAUGUUUGUUAUUAUUUUUGUUCUUUCAAAUUCAAGAAAUUGGUUUUAGCAAAUCUUUCAAGUUUGGGUUUUAUUUUCUUUAAUCUUACUUUUUUUUUUGGGUAAAGCUUCUUUAAUGUUACUUUUUAUCAUUACUAUUUUAGUUGAUUUAAAGUUUUUACUUAAAUUUGAUACACAAUUGGAAUGUUAUCUAUUUGGAUUUGACAUUACAAAUAUGGAAUUCAUAUUAACAUUUUUCAUGGACAAAAAGUAUUAAUAUGAUGGCUUAAUGGGAAAUCCUUUACUCUGGUAUUAUAAGCUCAUUAAUUUAAUUAAUUAGAUGGGAAAUAAAGGAGACAGUUGUUCUAAAACACCAGCAUUGCUAUUAUUACAAGGCAAUAGAUAAAUUCUGAAACCAAAACUGCAACAUUAUUUUUUAUAGAGGCUCCUAAAAUCUGAGAAAUGUAAGAACAACAGUGACAACGUCUGAACUAUCCUUAUGUGUUUUCUCAUCUGCGAAUGAUAUCUCAUUUCGUCUUUGGUUGUCAUGCUUUGUUUUCUAGACCUUAAUGCUGGAAGUAGCAGACCUUUUUCCUUUUUAGUCUGCUAUUCUUUUGCAUGGCAUACACAAAGUGCCUUUUGUAAUCUCUUUUUGCGAGAUCACUUGUGAAUAAUAAAUACUACUUUUCAAAAAAAAAAAAAGAAACAAUAUUUCAGAAAAGUCAUCAGAUGAACUCUUUAUAUAAGAAAAAACUGAUCUAGGAGAGAGUUGUCUGAAACACUAGCAUAGCUUUUGUUACAAGGCAAUAGAUAAAUUCUAAAACCAAAACUGCAACAUUAUUUUUUAUACAGGCUCCUAAAAUCUGAGAAAUGUAAAUACAACAGUGACAAUGUCUCAGAAAAGUCAUCAGAUGAACUAUUUAUAUAAGAACUAGCUAGCUAGUGACCAUCUUCAUCCCUCAAGCCUGAUGCUAAGUUAUAAAACUGGCGAGUCAGAGAGAGCCAGGAUUCACCAUCUUAACUUUGCUGGGAAGUACUGCAGAAAAUUGAAUGAUGUUAACAACAAAUUGUGCAGGACAUGAUAAGGAUUAGGACCUGAGCAAAGCUCAAGUUGUGCUGACCUUUUCAAUCAGGGAGAGGUAGUACGGGUUGACCUUUUCGACAUCAAUCCGGACUUUGCUCUUGCUGUAAGAUCGUAUUUGCUGCACAAUUGUAGGUGGAGAAAGUGAGUUUAGUACUGGAUAAGGAUCAGUGUAAGCAAAAUUUUAAUGUGUCUAGCACUUGGGCCAGACUCAAGAUUAAAAGCAAGCGAAGUCAUACUUGAAUAUUUGAAGCCACUUCAGAUUCUCAACAUCCUCCUCACUCAUUAGGUGCUUGUAUGCUUCUGACCUAUGCAAUGCUGCAAAAAAGAGUACCUCAGUAAAUAUCAGUAUUGGAAUACGAAUCAGUCUUCACAGAAGAGGAAAAGUAAAAGUGGAGCCUCUUUUAAUUCCUCUUACCAUAGAAUGAAUGGUAUCUAAUAAUGAAAAGAGCUGCUGGCGGCCAUGUUGUAUUGUUCACUUUGGCGACCUGAUAGAGAUUCCAAAAUUAGUUUGUAUCAUUGUAAUUUUUAGAUGCUAAAAAGGUAUCAUGAAUGCAUUGUGAAUUCAGACACAGAUAGGGAGAGAUACCAGAUACAUGUAGUCAUCAUGCCUCAUGACAUCAUCACAUUGUUGAGUCCACAUCCCUCUGCGUACACUCCAUAUUUAGUGUUGUAAGCAGAGUUAUAAAAGUCAGGAUUUUCCUCAAAAUACUGUGCCGACAACAUAAUUGAAUCAGAAAUUAUAAGAUACAAAAGAUCUUAUUAAAAAUUUCGAAGCAAUGAAUUGUUUGUGAGCUUAAUUCUUUUUUGAUAUAGCUGUUUAAAAUCAGGAAGGAAAUACCUUGUGAUGAACGAUUGAUUUGUCAAAAGCACAACCUACAGGAUAUGUGUCACCUAUGACACCAUGGAUAAAGAUUAGAAUUUAGAACUAGGAAUGGUUAAUUGGGGGAUGACAUUAUCCUCUUUUUUAUCAGUAUGGUAUAUAAAAGUUUCGCAGAUAGAAAAUGAGACUGACCUACAACAGCCCACUGGGGAAGGCCUUCAAAGCUAGGGUGGAGACGUACCUUUCCAAGGUCUAAACCCCAUAAAAGAAACAAAGUAUAUAGUUAAAUACAAUUUUGCAAUUUGUGAAACCAGGAGUCUUAAUUAUAGAAUCUAAAGAAAUAAAAAGUCCCAAUUAUACCGUGGACAAAGCCUGCCAGGUGCAGCCAGUCCUCAUCAGGAUAGUCCUUUCUGAUGGCCUCAGCUGUUUGCAGCAAGUGUUCGAUUUGAGGCUCAUCCAAGUCAGGGUCACUCUCAUCAACUACAUCAUUAAGAAGUUCACAGCAUUCCCAUAUGCUCAUUCCCACCUUGUUAAGUUUUCCAUACUCUUUUCUCAUUCUCUUGACCUGAAAUUGAGUAAACAUACGAGUCCAUUAACUUACAAUGUACAAAUAUGUAACACUGCUCGUCUCAGGAAAAUAAAGUGAUUGUGCACAGAGAAGCACAAGUUGCUUAUAAAGUCAUAAGUCUGGUUAAUAUGAUUGGUCCGGUAGAAGUUCUCUACACCUUGUUGCCUCUCACUUUCAACAUGAUAAUCUCUAUGUGCAUAUCAAUAAUAACUAGAUUAAAGCAUGCGAUAAAAAGAAAAGGAAAGGAGAGGUCUUCUUGGUGCAUUUUUGGGCUAGCAAAUGAUGGGCAGGUUUUGAGCUUAUAAAUGGACCUGGGGUCCAAUCGGCUCAGACCUUAAUAAGGCCUAAGAUCAAAACAAUUAUACAGGCCUCAACCUCUGAUAAAACUACAAUGCCUCACCAAGGAUAAGCUCUUCAAGAUAUAUCAGCAUGAAUACGACACAUUUGUAUUAUAUCUCUCCCAACUUAACUAUCAACAAAAGUAGAUCCAUGCUUUACAGCUCUGACCAAAAAUUACUGGAUAUAGGGAACUGGUACAUUCAUUAGAGAUAUUUCAAAUACACAAAUAUAACUGCAAUCUCUAUUCAGAAGCAUCCAUUAGUCGCGAAUUAACUCAACUAAAGGUUCAUAAACCGUACUUCAUAUUCAAUUUCAAGUUGUUUUUAACUAGAAAAUUGUUCUCAUCAUCAAACUAUAAAAGGUAUGCAUAUCAUCAGAAGGAGAUGGUCCUUUGUCAUUUUUCCUUGGUAAAGAAAUAAAGCGACCUCGGCAGAUAUGAUAAAUCUGUAGCAUGCACAGUUUCUGUACGCUUGUUUAUUAUUUGUUUUAUUGUCCAUAUAUUGAUACUAGUAUCCAUCCGGGAUCAGACAAUAAAUUUGUUGCAUAUCUAUUGCCCUUUAAUUUCCUCCUUUCCUUCCCAAAAUAACAUAAUGUGCGGUCAUGCAAAAAUAAUAAUAAUAAAAAUGCUACCUAAAAGUGUAGCCAAAAGAGUUGGUCUGUGGCACCAUAAAUCCCCCAUCGAACACCAUUUCUUUCUCAACAUUAUCGACUUUGUUAAACCCUGCUUCAACUCCGGAUAUUCAAAACGAAAAUUACGAAAAUAUUCCAUGCAAUUCAAUUAAGAAUCAUCAUUAAUUCUUGAAACUCAAUCAUUAGUUAUUUCUGAUUAUACAAAAAACCCUAAGAAGAAGUUUAAAAAUCUACAAAUUAAAUAAAUAAAUGAUAAAAAAAAUAAUGAUAUAAGUUGAGAUCAACCAAUAUCAGCAAAAUCCCAGUAAAAGAGAGGAUUUUUUUUCAAAAUUUAUGAACUAGAAAAAGUACUGUAACAUAAUCCUCUCUUAGUGAAUAAAAAAAGAUUUACUCAGAAAUUUUUUUGAUGCAAAAACAUAUACAAUAGCAAAACCACAUUGAACAAUGAAUUUUUUUUAGAUAAAAGAAUAGAGAUCAUAAAUAAUUACCGAACUCAGGUUGAUCAAUGAGAAUAGCCAUCCUGAAUCAAAACAGAAGCUUAAUGCUCAACAGUAACCAAGAAAAACAACAGAUCUUAACCAAGAAAUCUAGUGACAUAGAAGUUGAGUGGGUGGUUGCGCAUUAGGUCAAGCAAAAAGUUGGUUUUUAUAAUUAGCCGGAAGAAGUCCUUCCCUGAGAAUUCCCAGAUCCUAUGUCCUUCCCUGAAAAUCUAAACUUUUAUUCCUUAUAUAUCUUCUAUGACAUAAAACAUUAAUUUUCUUUGAAAAAUAAAUAUAUAAUAUUUUAUAUAAAAUAAUUUUUUUAUAGCAAGUGAAAAAAGAAGCUCGUGCAAGUUGGAAACAGGCUAACGAGAGAGAUAGAAUGGAGGUGAAACAUUUCACAAACAUAUGGAAGAUGGCAAUGCCAGUACUUUCAGAACUGAAGUAUGGUAGGUGGAUUAGCGGCCAAAUGGUUGGGAUAAUAGAAUAGAAAUAUCAGAUAUGGCAAGCUUUACUAAGCAAGGUGUCCUGCAAAUUUCUCUUCAAACAUAGUCUAUAAACACUUAAUUUGACAGAAGUAGCAAGACAUUUUCCGUUUAUUUUUCUCAAAAAUUAAACUCUUUCAAAGUUCCAAGAAACAACCUUCAAUGGGUACUAAAUGCCAGUGCAAGCUAGCAACACAACUUCUUGAAUUAGUCUAGCCGAUCAGUCUAAUACGAAGUCAAUAUUAUGUUGACAAGGUUUAUUUAAAUUGCCAAAAUGGAAUAUAUAGCACAGCAAUCAUGUUCCAUUUCUUUCUUCAGGACCAGCAAUUUGUUUACGUAAACCAGCAGAAAGACUGUUCAACAUUUUCCUUUCUAUCUUGUUUCUUCAAUAACUUAAACAUGCAUGGUAAUCAAUUACAUGAGUAGUUCAAUAACCUCAAAAGGUUUAACGUUAAAUAUUCCAAUGAGGUUUAUUUUAUUAAAAUUAAAAAAAUAUAUAUUGAAAUUUUAUUUAAACUUUUAAAUUACAAAUUAAAAAAUACUUGAUUUUAUAUAUAGGAAAAAAAUAGUUGUUAGAGAUAUUAAAUACAUAUUAUCCUUAAUUGAGAGAAAAUAGAAAAAAUAGUUGAAAAUUAAUAACAUUGUGGGAAUAAGAAGUGAUAAAAAAUUGAAAUUAAUUAGACACAUAAUCUGAGAAGUGAAAGAAUAUGUUAUAUUAUUAAUUAUUUUAACUUUUACAUAUCUUUAAUGAGAAAUGAGAUAAAUAGUUGAUAAUUAAUAAGAAUGCGAGAGGUGAGAGAAAAUAGAUAUUUGCUAGUCACUUAAUUUAGGAAGUGAAAGAAUAUGCAGAUAUUUUAUUGAUUAUUUUAAUUUUUUAUACUUUUAAUAUAAUUAAUUACAUUAUUAUAAAAUUAUGAGUCCAUGAAGAAUUGGGACCUAAAGUAAGGGUUUGGUGACUUUAUGGUAAACCCGCCUUGAUCAAUCAUUCACAUAUAUAUUUUCAUAAUUUAAUUUCUAUGCAAAUUUACAUUUACAUUUACAUUUAUAAAAGAUAAAAGGAAAAGUCAAGAGAAAAGAAAAUGAAGGAAAAUUAAUUACCUUGUUUAGAUAAAAGAAAAGAUCCACUAAGACUAUCAUAUUCCAAAAAUCACUAAUUCUUUAAGCAAAUGAAAGACGCCAGUGUGCAAGAAAGUGAAGGGCCUCUGCUCUGCUCUCUGCAAUUGGCCCAAGUACACAUAUUAUUAUGCUGGUGGUGAUUCGCAUCUUUUAUCUUUCCUUUUGUGGAAGGAACAGAUCUGUAGAAGAAGAAACCGCUCCUGCUUCUCUUUUAUAUGUUUAUCAUUUAUCAACCUGCAUUUCCUUCCUUUCUAUAUUUGAUUCAGCACCAUGGUUUCAACGGAGAUCUCCCUGUAUCUAAAUACUCGUAUAUCUUAUCAAAUUAUAGUUCUCUUUGUUUAGGUGCUCCUUGCAGAGUUAUAACUCAAUUAAUUUUGCAGAAAUAGUCACUAGGGACAAAUAGAGAGACGAAAGGAAAUUUUUGUGUUCAUUUUCCAUCCCAUGGAACUCAACAAUAACAAAUGAUUAAGUAUACAAAACACACUGGAUUCUGAAAACUAGUGAAAAGAAAAGGGAUAACGCCAAAUGCUAAACUGUCUGUAACUUAUUCGUAUUUCUUCAGGAAAGACUUUAGAAAGACAUACUGCGAGUUUACCGGAAAAAUGAUAUCUCACCGCAAAUUUGAUAGCAAAAGAUGGAGAUAUGUCUGGUAGCUACCUGGGGAUGGGAUUUAAUAAAUUUAAUUCUGAAUCCACAUUCAAAAGGGAGAUUUCAGGUGAGUUGCUUGAUGUUGUCAUGUUGCUUAGCACUCUUUGAGUUCUUCCGUGAGCCAUCUCUAUAGCCAUGCAUUCCUUCAGUUCUGUUAAUACAAGACUCAUGUCAGGCCUUUGAAUUGAAGCUGGUUGUGCACAUGACAUGGCUAUG